rnacentral:lncRNA from 1 species
GAACCAAGAACUAACUCUUAAGGGAAUAUUAAGGAUUACGAUAGCAUCUAUAAAAUAAUUAUUUUCUUUGAUUUCAUAUCUAUGUUUAAGAUAGCAUGGAAUAAGGAAGUCGAUAUGAACUUCUUUUGCUGGCUGCUUGUGCAUUUCGUGAUUGGCUGGUUUUUCCUUCUCUGGGUUGGGUGUGGGGACUGUGCUUUGUAAAAGACUUGCCUGAUUUGUAGCGCAGACAUCUUACAAGUAAAAACAUAUUUCUUCCCGCAAGCAUUCAGGAGAGCUUCAUUUUUUUAUAUUAAAUUUGUGUCUUGCUCCUUAUAAUCAUCAAGGGGAUUUGUUAUAACGUUGUUCAAAAGUUUAAUUUGGUACAUAUUACAGACGUCUAGGGCAAUUUAUCUUCUUUCUUCUUUUUUUAUACAAAUGAUAGAAAUAUAUUUACAAGGGUAAUUUUAUAAUAGGUCAAUAGAUUCACACAACUGUCCAAUACACCCACAAUAAAAUCACAACUAGAUAUCAAACUCAUCAUCGCAAAAAUAUAUCAUUCUCACCUCAUCAGUCGUUUAUGUGAGUAGAACCUGAGAUCUCCUCCAACCAACUGAAGAUAAAUAACUCUGAAUUAAAAGCUAAUUAAUUAAGGCAAACUAUUAUUAUUAGUAUAUGAACACCAUCAAUUCGCUUUUAUACAGCUAAAUGGAAAUAAUAUAUCCACUUACUCAAUUAUUAAAAUGCAUUCUUUCUCACUAAGAAUAUGGAAACGCAGCAUGAUUGGAUGAGGAGAUAUGAGUGGCACAACCUUUCUUCCUACUCUGAAGGGAGUCUUUCAAUGAAGUUCUUUACUUGACCCCAAAAGAUAAAAUAAAAAUUCUUAACCUCGCAUGACACAGAUAAAUGACCAUGCAGCUCCAAAAAAAUUUAUUUUAUUUUAUCUCUUUGUUGGAAAAUAUUUUAUUCAUAUUCAUUCCCUUGGAAGUUGGAAGUAGUCAACUUAUUUACCAGUUAUGUCUUGACACAUUUUUUUAUGUGUUUUUAGUGACUCAUUUUUUAUAUAUGUCAAACUAGAUUUUUGGGAAAAAAUAGAGCUAUAGGAUUGUUCCUCUUUGUUUUUAGUGAGUCAUUUUAGUUGUGCUUGUAAAGAAAUAAUUAAAUCGUGUCAGUGGCAAAACAUGAAGGGUAAUGUGAGUUUAGGUUUCUGACAAAUAAUUUUUGAAAUGAGUAUAUAACAAUUUCACAAAUUAUUACUGAACAUGAUUUUACUGUUUUUGUUGUCGAAAAAUGUUUUCAAAUUAAAUGAACAUUUUUGUUUUCCAGUUUUGCUAUAUUGUGUUAGUUUUGUUAUGCAUACCAUCUAAUAUUUUUUCUUGUUUUGAUCCUUUAUGGCCACUGUCAUGAGCAUUCUUCCUUACCUUUUUAGCUUUCUAUCACGACCAAGACUUUUCAGCUGCCCUUUUUAAUUUAUUGGGUUAUUUGCUCAAAUGGUCUUAUCUAAUUUUUAUAGUAUUUUAUAUAGAUUUUAAUUAAUUAAUUAAUAUUUUAGUAUAAAUUGAGGAUUUUAACUCUCAAAUUAAUGGUAAUAUUGAUAGAGUUUAACGGUAGGACUAAUUUACCGAUUAAUAUAUAAUUGAUGGACCAUUUGAGUAAAUAACCGUUCAUUUAUUUGUAGUAGUCAUCGUGACUUUUGCCUUUUGUUUUGGAGAAUGCUAGCAACCUUCUCUCUAACCUUCUUCUUUGGACCUUCUCCCUUCUUUGCUUGACAUGUGUCAUUCUCCUUACACAUAAAACCAUUAAUAUAUUAUACAAGCUAAAUUUUACUUUCCAAGUUUACCCUUAUUAAAUGUAUUCAAUUUAUCCCAAAAAAAAAAUCAUAACUUUCUUACCAUUUUAUUAAUUUUUUUUUAAAAAGAAAAUGUCUGUUUUUUUUAAAAAAAAAGAAGAAGUAAUGUUCGGUUUUUUUUUUUUUUUUUUUUUUUAACACAAAGGGUUUGAUUGCAUUUCUUAUACUACUAAAUAAACAAAAAUGUCCCCCAAAUCUGAGUAGAAACAAAAUAACACAUUUUAAUAUUAGCAACGGUUACAAAACACAAAUAGUGAAAUCUUUAUACAAUAUUAAAGUCUUCCCAAAAAUUUCCAGAGUCUAGUAGUAGUAGAAACGAAAGAUGAUUAAUCUUCCCAGACUUCGCUUCACUUCUCUUCUUCAAAAGUAUACGACUUCACUACUCAUCUUCCGAGGCUUCAUAUGCAAAUCUUCUCUAAUAUGUAUCAACUAUUCCUAUUACCACAAAAUUCAAUUGGUCAAACAAGCAUAAACAAAGUUCUUAUAAAUAAAUAAAAAUUCUAUAAAUAAAUAAAUAAAAAGUUCUUAUAACAAUACCAUCUUGUGUAGCUUGACCAGCAAAAUAUUCAUGCAUGUCUGAGGUCCACAAAUUAUAAUUUGCCUGUUACAUAUAGUAGAUAUGCACCUUAAUUAAUACAAAUAUAUUAGUAAUAAAUACAAAUAAAUCAUAUAUGACAAUAUUAAAUUUCCAUCCAGUCCAUAUUUACUUUCAUUCCAUUAUGCCCUUCAAGAGUCUCAUAUUCAUCCUAUAACAUAUCAAAGAAAAACAAGAUUUAUUCAUAAGUAAAAUUCAAUAAAAGGUUAUGAUUAUUAAGUGCUGAAAAGAAGAAUUUGUGUAUCACCUAUGGUAUACUUACUAUUUGUUGCAAGCAUUCAUGAGUAUCCCUGUAGUUAUCAGAAGCAUCAUUCCUUGUGUGUGCUUGUUCCUAUAACAUAAAAAAAAAACACCUUGACAUGUAUAUGUUAUAUAUGCACCUAAAAGGUAAUUCCAAAAGAAAACUGAUAUAUCGUGCCUGUCUUGGCAAGGAGCUUUUCAUCCGAUCAUUAGACAGUCCAAGAUUUGCUUGUGCCUACGAAAAAAGAUGAGAAGUAUAUUUAAUAGAGCCUGAGAGUUGAAAAUGCAGAGCGUCUUCUGAAAGAUAAAGCAAAGAGAAGACGUUUUAGCUUCAAGGGCAAAUAUGGAAAUAUAAUUUUUAGUUUUUAUAUAAUUAAUAGCAUUGUUUUAUGUGUAAGGAGAGUGACACGUGUCAAGCAAAGAAGGAAGAAGGUCCAAAAGAGAACGUUAGAGAGAAGGUUGCUAACAUUUUCCUUUUGUUUUUUUAAUAUCGGGAGAGUGACUUUUGCUUGUGGUGAUCCCCUUCGUCCACACCUUUUUUGCUUUCUAUCACGACCAAGACUUCCAUGUAUAUGGUGACUGUUAUAAAUCAAGAGGAAUUAUGGAGAGAAUUGAGAGAGAGAGAAGGGGAAUGUUUUCUCUUCAUUGAAUGUGUGUAUUGAGUUAGGGAAGGGGGAAACUUUUAUAGGCAUUUGGGGACUCUACUUUUACAACAGUGACAAUCUUGUUGAUUAUUCAAAAUGAAUCACCAAGGAAGUUGCGCACACUCAAAGACACCGCCAAGCCGAGACAAUCGUGUUACGUUAUUGUGCCAAAAAAAAAAAAAAAAAUCCAUGAAAACAUUAGCUGAGGUACGUGUUUUAAAGUUGUGUCUAAAUAUCAACAAUGAAUAAAAGUUUCACAAACCCAAACAAAUUGUAGACAAAUAGAAAAUAAAUCAAAGUUUCACAAAUCCAAACAAAUUAUAGACAAAUAAAAAACAAUAAAAUAUGGGUAAUGCUAGACUUAUCAUAUUUUUAUACCACAUUGUGUACCACCUCUCUAAUAGCAUUUUUCAUAAAAUAUAAGAUUAAGAUUAACCAAUCUUAAUUAAGUGAAUCAACCCAAUUGAACUUUGAUAAUAUAUUAUAUGGAGAGUAGCGAAUAAAAAAGUCACAACCUUGUUUCCAACCUAAUUAUAAUCCAUAUCCAUUGCCACAUAGUACGAUCCAAAUCGUAUACUUUUCUCAUCUUCAUUUAUAGAUCAUUCUUAAUUCAUAGAUCAUUCUUACAGAAAAUAAGACAAAUUGAACAUCAUUAAGACACUAAUGAGGUGUUAGUUGGAUUGGCCCAGACUUUUGGUGUGCUCCCAAGUGUUCCUGAGUUUAAGUCCCCAUGGUACUAAUAUGAGUUUCCCCUCUGCCUUCCUAACUUUAACUAAAAAAAAAAUCAUUAAGGCAUAUAAUUAUGGCCAACAUAAUAGACAAACAUGGUGCUUAAAAAAAAAAAUAAUGACAACUAUUAUUUGAGUAGUCAAAUUAAUGGUUUCAAAUUGGAAUUUUUUUUUUUUUUUUUUUUUGUAGAGAUGAUCUUUGAAAGAAUAGUUAAAAGUUAGACAGUUCAAAUUAUUGAAAUAUAAUGCAAAUGAAGCCUUACGAGGUGUCUGUCAAAUAAUUUGAGGGAUCAUUACAUAUAUAUAUAUAUAUAUAUAUAUUUCAAAUUAAGAUAAUCAACUCGUUACUCAUCAACUUCCCCUCCAUACCGACUGCCAAAAAAAAAAAAAAACUCAUCAACUUCUGCUUCUAGCCAGUCUCCUAGACCUGGUGCUUCCAUGGCCGUAGAGAACAUGCCACCAUUUCCGGUUGCAAUCAAACUUACGUCUGAUAUAUAUAACUAUCAACAGUGGAAAUCUUUCUCUCUUUCAUAUUUUAACUACCACAAUCUUUCUGGAAUCAUUCAUGGAACAGAGCCUCGUCCGGGCCUAAUUGAGUCUACCCUUAGUAAUUGGUCGGGCAGAGUUCAAAAGGGUUUGAGUUGGUUCGACAGAGAUCAACAGGCUUUGAAUUGGAUGAGAGCCACUCUAUCUGGAAUUCUCCAACAAAUGGUCAUGGACGGAGCUGACUCUUCACGAAAGGUCUGGCAAAAUCUCGAGCAACACUUCGCCCAUCUCUCUCAUGCUAGCAUCUAUCAGCUUAAAUCCGAACUACACAAAGUGAAGAAAGAUCCCACCAUUCCGAUGGCUGACUAUCUGGAAAUAAUCAAACAGCUGGCGACCGAUCUUGCAGCUGCCGGUGCUCCUCUGGAAUUUCCCGAACUAGUUCAUGUACACAUCCUGGCGGGAUUACCAGAGGAGUACAAUCCCUUUCGUGCAAGGAUAAACCACUCUCCAGUAAGUGGUUGGGAUGAGUUGUAUGACUUAUUGUUGAAGGAGGAAAUGCGUCUGGAUCCACAGCGCACCUUAAAACUUGGACAUGCUUCUUCUGCCUCUGCUCCUCAAGAAAAAGAAGAGUACGCAAUCGGGAUCGAUCUGGGGACAACGUAUUCCCGCGUAGCAGUGUGGCAGAAGGAUCAUGUAGAGGUUAUACUGAACGAUCACGGGAACAGGAAGACUGCAUCUUAUGUUGCCUUCACUGAAACUGAUGAGACUAAUCUGGUAGGUGAUGCAGCAUUUAACCAAGUCGUCAGAAACACACCCAACUCCAUCUUUGGUACGUAUCAUAUUCAUAUGUAGGAUUAAACUGCACGUUUACUGUCUCCUUUUUAAUUAUAUUCACUUAGAACUAUAAUCAUAAGUAUAUAUAUGAAAUUGUCACUUUUUCUAAGCUAUCUAGCUAGAUUGUGAAUCAACACUACCCAUAAUCUUUGCUUGAACAAAUCCAAAGAUUGAUUUUGAUUUUUACUGCCAGAGCCAGCUAAUAUAUGUUUGCAUGAAUUGUAGUUUAAGAAUUUUUUGAGGAAGUUAAAAUUGUCGUAACUUUCAGUAAGAUCCUCCCAUGGUGAGAAAAAAAAGUUAAUGUAUUGGUUAAUAAGCUAUUAUAUUAGAUUCCUACUUAAACUCGUGCUAUCUGAUAGAACUUGGCAUCCAUUUGCAGAUACAAAGAGGUUAAUCGGUAGGAGAUUCAGUGACGCCUCUGUUCAAAGUGAUGUGAAGCUCUGGCCAUUCAAGGUCAUUGAAGGUCCAGGUGACAAGCCCGUGAUUGUGGUCACCCACAAUGGCCAAGAGAAACAAUGUUCUGCUGAAGAUAUCUCAUCCAUGGUUCUGGUAAAGAUGAGGAAGAUUGCCGAGACCUACUUGGGCUCAACUGUGAAAAAUGCAGUUAUCACGGUCCCUGCUUACUUCAAUGACUCGCAGCGCCGAGCUACAAAAGAUGCGGGCAUGUCUGCUGGCCUAAACGUGUUGCGUAUUAUGAAUGAACCAAGUGCUGCUGCCAUUGAUUAUGGCCUUAACAAGAAGGCCGGUUGGAGUAGCCCGCGAAACGUGAUGAUAUUUGAUUUGGGUGGUGGCACUUUAGAUGUGUCAUUGCUUACCAUUAGCACUUCUGGUGACUUUGAAGUCAAGGCAACGGCUGGAGACACUCACCUUGGCGGCCAAGACUUCGAUAACAGAUUGGUGAACUACUGUGUUGAGGAAUUCAAGAGGGAGCAUAAAUUGGACGUUAGUGGAAACAAGAGAGCUCUUAGGAGGUUAAAAAAUGAAUGUGAGAAGGCAAAGAAGAGACUCUCAUUUGAGUCUGACAUUGACGUUGAAAUUGACUGUUUGUGUGAGAAUACUGAUUUCACCAUAACUUUUACUCGGGCCAUAUUUGAACAACAAAACAGGGAAUUAUUUACCAAGUGUAUGGAGCCUGUGAAGAAGUGCUUAAGGGAUGCUAACAUGGACGUAAGCCGUGUCGACGAUGUUGUUCUUGCUGGUGGCUCUACUAGAAUUCCCAUGGUGCAACAGCUAUUGCAGGAGUUUUUCAAGGGGAAGGAGCUGUGCAAGGGCGUUAAUCCGGAUGAAGCAGUGGCAUAUGGCGCUGCGGUUCAAGCCGCAGCCUUGACUGGGAAUGGAAAGGGGGAGUUUAUUCAGGACUACACACUCAAGGACAUCACUCCUCUGGCACUUGGUGUUGCAGAUAAGAAAUUCAUGCAGUUGAUUCCAAGAAACUCUCUAAUUCCCGUGGACAAGAAACUAGAAUUGUGCACUAAUAUAGAUGGCCAAAUUCUCAUGAACAUUCCCAUAUAUGAGAGUGACAGUAGCAUACCAGCAAAUCUCAACUUUCUGGGUGAAUGCAGCAUCCGUGACAUUCCUCCAGCUCCCAAACAUGUUCAUAAAUUCGAUGUUUUCUUCGAAAUUGAUCCCGAUGGCAUCUUGAGUGUCUCUGCUGUCGAUAGGUCCACUGGCCAAAACAGAGAGAUCAUAAUCAACCGUGACAAACCGAAGAAGUCUGAGGGAAUGCAGAGAACUAAGAGAUGAGGUAAGAAAUGAUAAUCCAUAUGCCAUGCUACCGCUGAAACAGAAUAUAUUAUAAAAUCAAAUCAAUUUGAUAUAUCUUUACUUUGUUAACUUGUAGCAGGUUAUAUUGUUUUAGGGUGAAAUCAUGGUUUUUUUUUUUUUUUUUUUUUUUGGUGAUCUACUUCAGCAGCCCCAAUAUUCCUGUGGCCGUCUACGCUGCACCGCAUUGCAGAACUCAAUGAUCCUCACCAUGUGGUGCCUCACUGUUUUCUUGUUAAUGCUUAAUUAUUACUCGUUAUAUUUGAACUAUGUAAAGUUUAAACUGUGCUAUAUAUUUGAUAUUUUGUUUUGCAAACUGGUUAACUACAAAUUGGGUUCAUUCGGCUGGAGCUGGUAUUGGGCUUGAUUUCUUUUGUUUGGCUCAUUCGAGCUUAGUAAUGAACAAUCCAAUUACGACACCAAAAACCCACUAAGUUCUCUAAACCAUUUGGUCUUCUUUCAUGUUUAGGUUGGGCUCCCCUUUGGGCCUUUACAUUUGGGUUUUUUUUAAUGAAAAAUUACUUGGGGACCUUUUUUUGUGGAUAUAAUUCACCAAAAUAGUCGAUCCACAAUUCAUGAUCUAGAAUAAGAGCAUAAUCUUAGUUAAAAGAUUCACAGCCUGAAUACAAUCACGCCAUACAAAAAGUGGAAAAUUAUAGAAACAGAUGCAGUACCAACCCUGCUCCUUAGCAACAUCGAUGUGGAUUUGAGAAGGAAAAUAACAAAAUAAAUGUAAGUGCAUAAAAAAGAGAAAAAAAACAAGGCACAUUUGGGAUAAGCAAAUAUCAAGGCCCCUUACAAAAUAAAUCAAAUUAGGGUAGACGAAUGAAAAACUACUCUCGGGCCAGUAACCACAAUCAGACCAUAUUAUAUUCGAGAUUUGCAAAAUUCGACAACCAAAUUCACGAUUGAAGAGGAACUACAAUAUUGAAGAUUAUGACAUGGGUUUUUUUUUUUUCCCAUCAAAUAUAAAUUUUGAACCCUAUAAUCCUUGAGCACCACUCACGGGCCCAAAACUUGCCUUGUACAAAUAUAAAACAGUAUUUAAAAGAACUUAAUACAAGAAAUUUUUUAUUCUCAUUCCUUAAUUGUGAUUGGAUAUAGAGUAAUGAAUUGGGUUUCGUGCUCUUUUUCUUUUAGUGCUAGUCAUUGUGAGUUCACAUCUGUGGUGGGUGACCUGUCGGCUUCUCAUCAUUACAAAGACUUUCAGCUGACUUGCAUGCAGCUGCAUGUGUUUUUUUUUUCCUUGGGUUUUUUUUUUUUUUUUUUUUUUUUGGACAAAUUUUUUUUCCUUGGGUUGUAAGCUACGUAUGUGUUACAUUCAUGGUCACCGUCAAUGUCAUGUUGCGUUGAUGGUGAAGUUUCCAAUAAUUCUCUCAUUGCUAGCAAGUAGUGUUGCUUUUUUAGGGUGAGCACGGUACGUGUUACAUUCAUGGUCACCGUCAAUGUCAUGUUGCGUUGAUGGUGAAGUUUCCAAUAAUUCUCUCAUUGCUAGCAAGUAGUGUUGCUUUUUUAGGGUGAGCACGGUACGAUUCUGCUGCUUUUGUAGUGUUGCUUUUUAAGAGUGGGCACAGUACGAUUCGGCUGCUUUAUUAAGGGGAAGGGGUCCUCCUAGUUGAGGUAAUAUUUCUUUUGUUUUGGUGGGAGACAAACUUUCCAUGUUUUAUCACAUGUUUUGGGGUAUGUGUCACUUGAUCGGGUUUUCAUGGUACACUUUUGUGGGGCUGCUCUUUUUUGUUGGCUCUGGAGGAGGAAUUUGGGGAGCUGCACUGCAUGGUUUCUUCGCUCAUAAGGCUGUUGGAUGGCAAAUUCCCUUUGGCUGAAGCAGCAAAUAAUGGAGAACUAAUAAUUGAGCAGAAAAUAAAAAGUAGCUUCAUUUGCUUUUCUGGUGACCUAGAAAAAGACUUUAAAGCAACAAAAGUAGGAUAAGGAUCCUAGGAAGGAAUCAUAUCAUUUUGGAAUCUAAGAAAGUAGAUUGAAGAUAAAAAAAAGAUAUCCCUUGCACAGUAAUUCAGCAACGACCUUGCACAGUCAGUCAAUAAGAUAAAGAAAACACAACAGAAAAAAAUCGUCCUAAAAAUCAACAGACGACGAUUAAACAUUGGUCAUCAGUAAUCACUCUGAUUCAUGCUCAUUCUGAUUCAAGUUAGGAAACGUGUCAUAAGUAAAAUACACAAUAAUGAGAAGACACAUACACUAUCUCUCAUACGAAUCAUCGAUAGAAUUUCAAUAGGCUCUGAAUUUUCUUUGAUUAAUUUUUUUUUCUCAAUACACUUUUCGUGCCUAAACUUUGGUUAUUUUUGAAUCUAAUAUCUAAAUUAUAAUUUGUCACAAAUUUUCUUUUGGAAUAUGAUAUGCUAAAUUAUUCUAUUGUAUAUGGAGGAUGUCUAACUAGGGUGCAAAAGGGCAAACAUGUUGUCUUGACCAACUGGCGCAACCCACAUAUGCUAAUUUGUCACAAUUUAGUUUAUAGCUUCAAUCAGAAUGUUUGAUAUCUCAUAGCAAUUUUGCGUGUGUCUCCCUUCCUUAUUAUCAUAGAGGACAAUUAUAAUGAACUAAAUGCAAGUACGUACAAAAAUUUAUGGAGUUAGACCCUUGAAUUAAUCUAAUAACACAUAUAAUUAGCUAUUUAAACUUUGGAAGUAUUUUUGCUCACCACUUUAAUCCAAGGUGUACUCUCAUCACCAUUCUCAACACUUGACACGUGUCUAUUGACAUAACUAUGGUUCUAUAAAUACAAAGCAAAGAGUUAACUAUGAUUAUGCCAAUGGAAACAUAUCAAGUGUUGAGAAUGAUAAUGAGAGUACACAUUAGGGUUAAAGUGUUGAGCAAAAAUAUUUCUUUUAAACCCUCACUCAUACUCCUUUUUAUAUCACAUUGAAAUAGUCCCAAAGUUUUUAUGCCAUAUGUGAUUCAAAAACUAAUUGCAAAACGAACUCAUGGCAACAUUUUUAAAACUCUGUGUCUUCCCAAUUUCUCCGUGUGGGAUUUAAAUUUAUACUCUCAGUAUUGGCAUCACCACAAGAAGAAAUUUUUUUAAGAAAAUACUUGUCAUCUAUUUUCCAUUGGCUCUAAACAACCAAUACUUCAAGUCUUUGUUCAACUAUGACAAUCAUUAAUUAGAAACUACACCGCAAGAUGAUUAUGAUGUGUUUUUUUUCAUCAAAUAGAAAUGUUGAACUCAUACUUUUUCCUCUCUUUUUUCUUUUUCCUUUCUAUUUGGGACGGUCUUAUGCCAUGGACAAUGAGAAUCAGGGCUAUAGGCCUAUAGCCCAAGUGAGAUUUCCUCUCCCCACCCUCUUUUUUAUAUCUAUAGUAUUAGUUAGUAUAUAUGUUUAAGGUUUAGCCUAAUUCAAAAUCUAACAACUCACUUUAAGGUUAAUCUAACUCAUCCUAUUUUAAAACUUUGAGUCCGUCCCUGCUUGGAAGACUACAAUGGCAACUAGAAAUCAUCUUACCUUUACACUCGAGAGUUCUAUUGAACUUCGUAAGACCCGGGUCCUUUUGAAAACUUGCCCUUUCACAUGUGAUAAAAAAAAGAAAAAAAGAGCACCAUCUCUAAACUCCUUGCACAACUCAAGGGCCCCACUCUUUUUCCGAGAAAGAGAGAGAGAGAGAGAGAGAGAGAGAGAGAGAGAGAGAGGAAGAAUUUCUCAAAAUUUAUUGAUAAGAAGAAACUAAAAGAGAAGUGGUAAUUUGAAUACAAGGAAUCUUGAUUCUUUUUCCUUAUUGUGAUUGGAUAUAGAGACAUAAUGAAGUGGGUUUCGUGUUUUUUAUUUAUUUAUCUUUUUAGUGCUAGGCGUUGUGAAUUCAUAUCUGUGGUGACCCGUCUCAUCAUUAUAAAGACUUUCAGCUGAGUUGCAUAUAUUUUUUUUAGUUAAUUUAGGUUUUAGCCAUAAAAAAAAAACUUUCACUUUAAGGCCAAAGUUUUUUCGAAAAAGAUAAAAAAAGUUUUCUAUUUUUAAAUCAAAGACAUGCAAAUGUAACUGAUUCAUUGGGAAAUCCAAAAAUACAUAAAGGCAAUUUUGUCCAUUUUGGUUUCUUUUAAAAAAUUUCUCUCUUCUUUGACUUUUCCAAAGUCUCCUCUUUUUUUUUUUGAUCGUAAGCUACAUAUGUUAUAUUCAUGGUCAUCGUCAAUGUCAUGUUGCGUUGAUGGUGAAGCCUCCAAUAAUUAUCUCCUUCCUAACUAGUAGUGGUUCUUUGAAAAAUCAAAAUAACUGUGACUUAAUAAUACAAGGAAUAUGAUUUCAAAAUCUAAAAAAAUAAAUCGAAGAUAAAAAAGUAACCUUUAUUUUUUUGGUCGAAAUUUGAUAUCAUUAAGCUAACCCCAAGCAGGAAGAAACGACACAAAAGCCGGAGGCUCCAAGCAGCAAACAAAAACCUAUUAAGAGGCAAAUCAUGAUCAUUUCAGUGUUUGCUAACACUUUAGGAAUCAAAACAAGAGUGGGGCCCGCAUCCAUAUUCUUGAAAAAUGAAGGAUCAGACUCCAUGGUGACGGGGUAAUAUUAUGAUUACUAGUAAUCAUGAGUCAUCAUGCAUUCAUUCUGAUUCCAAGUUAAUAAACAUGAUAUAAGUUAACAAAUAAGCAAUAACUACUGAGAAGAUACAUACACUCUAAAUUCUCUCUCAUACGAAUCAUUGAUAGACUUUCACUACGAGAAUUUUCUUUGUUUAAUUUUUUUUUUCUCAAUACAAUUUUGGUGCAUGAACUUUGGCUGUUUCGGAAUGUAGCACCUAAAUUAUAAUUUGUCAUAAUUAAAAAUAAAAAAAAUACAUAUUGUUGAAUUACUCUAAUAUACUGGGACAAGGGUGGUUCCAGCAUGUAGCAGGGUGGGCUCAUGCCCGGCCCAAAUUUAUGUUAAAUAAAUAAGGAAAUGCUGGCAACCUUAUCUCUAAUUUUCUUUUUUGGACAUUCUUCCUUCUCCUCAUGACAUGUGUCAUUUUCUUAACACUUAAAACAAUGACAUUAAUGCAUUGGACAAUAUAUCUUUUGUUCCCAAAUUUACCCUUAUUAAAUGUAUUAACUUUAUAUUUCCUUCAAUUUACAACUUAACUUAGACAAUUAAAUUUAAAAAAUAAACAUUAAAAGUUCAAUUAAAUAAAUAUUUAAAAAUAAAAGCGAAGUAUACUUCCCUAAAAAAAACUUUUUUUGGUUUCAAAAAUAAGUAUUGCAAUAAAACCGUUCAAAAUUAUGGAAUUUUAAAAAAAUACAGAUAAAUAUAUUUUUUAAAUUAAUGAACAUUCCAAUUGAUUAAAAAAGUUAAAAGAUAAAAAGAAACAAAGAAAAGAGAAAAAAAAAAAAAAAAAAAACCCAACCCACCGUGCACUGUACUUCUCACUCUCCUCCUUCAAUCCAUACCCCAAAAUCCAUUCUCCCUUCCCUCCACAAAAAAAGGUAGUAAACAGAAUUUUUUUUUUAUUUUAAAAAAAACUGACGUUAAUUUUGUGGAAGAAUUUAAAAUUAUCUUUUAAUUUUUUUAACAAGGUGGAAAUAAAAGUUAGUUUGUCCAAUGCAUUUAACAAGGGUAAAUUUGGAAAACAAAACAUACAUUGUCUAAUGUAUUAAUGACAUUAUUUGAAGUGGAGAGAAAGUGACACAUGUCAUGAAGAGAAGGGAGAAAGUCCAAAAGAGAAGAUUAAAGAGAAGGUUGCUAGCAUUCCUCAAAUAAAUAUUACCCACACUCUUCUCUCUCCUCUCUUCUCUUUUGCCCGGCCCUAAUUUUUGUUAAAAAAAAUAUUACAUACACUCUCAUCUAUCUCCUCUUUUUUUUUUUUUAGGUUAAUGAUUUCCCAUUUCAAUUUUAUCCACUUACAACUCCUUUUUAAAAAUCAACAAGACUGAGGGGAUGUGCAACUUUCCGCACCUUCAACGCUUUCUUCGGCGAAGGGAGGUGCAACUACAUCUCCUUGCGUCUUUGUAGGCCCAUCAAUGACUAGGAGGGGGAUCAAACUCAGUUGUAAAGGGGCGAGCACGUUACUGGACUGGCUCCUUAAAACUGAGGAUCCUCCUCAAAACAAAUCGGGUUUUGAGACUUGUUAAUUUUUUAUAAUUCUUUUUUUUUUUUUUUUUUUUUUGGUACCAAAGUUAGAAAGUGGGAGGGAGGGGAAAACUCACACACUGGUACCGUGGGGGUUUGAACCCAAGACCACUUGGGAGCACAUCAAAGGCAUGAGCUAAUCCAACUAACACUUCAUUGGUUCCUUUUGAAUUCUUUUGACCCUUUGUUCUUUUGGAAUUUGGCAAGUGUAAGACUCUCAUUUAUUGUGAGGAGGAGCUCCUCUUUAGUUUUAAGGAGCCAAUGUGUGCCCUUUGAUUUAUGAGCACGGCUUGGCUCCUUAAAAUUAUGGAAAAGCUCCUCCUUAAAAUCAAUGGGGUUUGACCCUUGUCAAAUUUCAUUAACAAUGACAAAGUUUCAAUAAAAGAGAAUAUUCAAAUAAUUUGACACGUGUCAAAACCACAUUGGUUGUAUGGAGGGUUAAAUUAGGUGGAGGGACAAAUGUCAAAAUUUUGGAUAGGUGACAAAAAGGGUACAGAGGAUUUGGGUACAGCAGAUCUGAAGUCUCUCUUACAAUUGUAGUGCGUAAGCUUUGGUUUAUUAGACUUUUCACUUCCUCCGUGUAUAAAUUUCAUUCCACAUCUAUUUUCUGCACUUACUUAAAUUCCUUGUUAAUCUAUUACAGUCUUCUUCAAGAUUUUCAGCCGAGAAAAUUAAUAAUGACAGAAGAUAACCAUGCAAUUGGGAUCGAUCUGGGGACAACUUAUUCGUGCGUGGCAGCGUGGCAGGCUGAUCAUGUAGAAAUCCUGGUGAACGAUCACGGUAACAGAACAACUCGAUCUUAUGUUACCUUCACUGAUAGUAAGAGGUUGGUAGGAGAUGAAGCAUUUAACCAAGUCGGGAGGUUCCCCGCCAACUCAAUCUUCGGUAAGAUUAAAAUGAUAUGAUCAAUUAUACUUAAUUGUUUAUUUGUUUCCUUCCUGACAUAAUAAUCUAAAAAUGAUUUUACAGAUGCAAAGCGGUUAAUUGGUAGGAGAUUUAAUGAAGAAACUGUUCAAAAAGAUGUCAAGUGCUGGCCAUUCAAGGUCAUUGAAGGUCCUGCUGACAAGCCCUUGAUUGUGGUUAACCACAAGGGUGAAGAGAAAAAAUUUGCUGCUGAAGACAUCUCUUCCAUGGUUUUGGCAAAGAUGCGGGAGAUUGCCGAGUCCUACCUUUGCUCAAAGAUUUCAGCAAAAAAUGCAGUUAUCACUGUCCCCUCUUACUUCAACGACUCACAGCGCCAGGCUACAAUAGAGGCUGGCAAACUAGCGGGCUUAAAUGUGCUGCGUAUUAUCAACGAACCAACUGCUGCAGCCAUUGCUUAUGGAAUCGACAAGAAGGCCGGUUGGUUUAACAAGAGAAAUGUGAUGAUCUUUGAUUGGGGUGGUGGUACGUUGGAUGUGUCCCUUCUUACCAUAGGCAAUGGUGUCUUUGACGUGAAGGCCACUGCCGGAGACACUCACCUUGGCGGUGAAGACUUGGAUAACAGAAUGGUGAAUUACUGCGUGGAAGAAUUCAAGACAAAACAGAACGUGGACAUUGGUGGAAACGCCAAAGCUCUUCGGAAGGCCAAAACUGCGUGUGAGAAAGCAAAGAAGGCACUUUCGUUUUCCUUUGACACUGAUAUUGAAAUUGACUCUUGGUAUAAGGGUGAAGAUUUUCAUACUACUUUCACCCGCGACAAAUUCGAAGAACUGAGCAUGGACAUCUUCAACAAGUGCAUGGAGCCUGUUAACAAGUGUUUGGAGGAUGCCAAAAUGGACAUAAGCGAGGUCGAUGACGUUGUUCUUGUUGGUGGGUCUUCUAGAAUCCCCAAGGUUCAAGAGCUAUUGCAGGAGGUUUUCAAGGGUAAGGAGUUGUGCAAGAGCAUUAAUCCCGAUGAGGCCGUGGCGUAUGGAGCCGCUGUUCAAGCUGCAUCCUUGAGUGGGAACGUAACCGGGAAGCUUCAAGACUUCACUCUCUUGGAUGUCACCCCUCUAUCACUUGGGUUGGAGCUUGUGAAACAUGAUAGUUCCGAGCUUUACAUGAAUGUUGUGAUUCCAAGAAACUCAAGAAUUCCGGUGAGCAAGACAACACAUGUAACUACUGUUGAUGACUACCAAGAGUCUGUUACCUUCUCAAUUUAUGAGGGUGAAAGUAAAGUAGCCAAAAAUAAUAAUUUUUUAGGUGAAUUCACCCUCCAUGGCAUUCCUCCGGCUCCCAAGGGUGUUCCCAAGUUCACUGUUUACUUUGAUAUGGACGCAAAUGGAGUUUUGAGUGUCUCUGCUGAGGAUAUGUCCACUCGCCAGAAGAAAGGGAUCAAAAUCAAGCGUGACAGAACAAAGUAACUUUUUAAGGGAAUAUUAAGGAUUAAGAUAGCAUCUACUAUGAAGUAAUUAUUUUCUUUGAUUUCAUGUUUAAGUACAAUAUCUUUAAGGGAAGUCGAUGUGAACUUCUUUUGCUUGUGCCUUUCGUGAUUUGCUGGUUUUUUUUCUUCUCUGGGAUGGGGUGUGGGGGAGUGUGCUUGUAAAAGACUUGCCUGUUUUGUAGCGCACACAUCUUAUGAGCAAAAACAUAUUUCUUCCCGCAAAUACAUUCAAGACAGCUUCAGUUUUUAUUUUGGAUUAAAUUUUUGUGUCUUGCUCCUUAUAAUCAUCAAGGAGAUUUGUUAUAACGUUGUAAAAAAGUUUAAUUUGGUACAUAUUACAGACACAAGAAGAUAAUUUAUAGAUUAAAUUAGGGCAAUUUAUCUUCUUUCUUCUUUUUUUACAAACGAUAGAAACAUAUUUACAUUCACACAACUGUCCAAUACACUCACAAUAAAAUCACAACUAUCAAACUCAUCAUCGCAAAUAUAUAUCACCCUCACCUCAUCGGCCGUCUAUGUGUCCACUUACACAAUUAUUAAAACGCAUUCUCUCUCACUAAGAAUAUGGAAACGCAGCAUGAUUGGAUGAGGAGAUAUGAGUGGCACAACCUUUCUUCCUACUCUGAAGGGAGUCUUUCAAUGAAGUUCUUUACUUGACCCCAAAAGAUAAAAUAAAAAUUCUUCCUCGCAUGACACAGAUAAAUGACCAUGCAGCUCCAAAAAAAUUUAUUUUAUUUUAUCUCUUUGUUGGAAAAUAUUUUAUUCAUAUUCAUUCCCUUGGAAGUUGGAAGUAGUCAACUUAUUUACCAGUUAUGUCUUGACACAUGUGCAGAAAUUCUUCCUUAUGUGUUUUUAGUGACUCAUUCUUGUAUAUAUGUUCAAAUUAAGGUUUUGGGAAAAAAGGAGCUAAAGGAUUGUUCCUCUUUGUUUUUAGUGAGUCAUUUUAGUUGUGCUAGUAAAGAAAUAAAUAAAUCUUGUCUGAGUGGCUGAACAUGAAGGAUAAUGUGAGCUUAGGUUUCUGACAAAUAAUUUUUGAAAUGAGUAUAUAGCAAUUUCACAAAUUAUUACUGAACAUGAUUAAACUGUUUUUGUUUCGAAAAAUGUUUUCAAAUGAACAAUUUCACAACUACAUUCUUAGAUAUUGUAUUAGUUUUGUUAUGUAUAUACGAUUUUAUAUUUUUUCUUGUUUUUAUCCUUUAUGGCCACUGUCAUGAGCAUUCUUCCUAACCUUUUUAGCUUUCUAUCACGACCAAGACUUUCCAGCUGUCAUUUUUCAUUUGUUGGGUUAUUUACUCAAAUAAUUUUCAAACUUAUACUCGAGUUGCAUUAUGUUCUUCAACUCAAUUAUUCGUUCAAAUGGUCCACCAACUCUAUAUUAAUUGGAGAAUUGGUCCAACCGUUUCAUUUUCUGUGAAUUUUAGUCAUUGAUUGGAUUGUGCAUGAUUUUCUCCAGAUCAAUUCAACAUGUUGUUGUGUUUGGUCUCUAGAGAAGAAUUACUCAUAUUCGUUGUUUGGAUUGUGCGUAAUUCUCUCCAGAUCAAUUCAACAUGUUGUUGUGUUUGGUCUCUAGAGAAGAUUUACUCAUAUUCGGCACAUAGUUGCUCUAUACUUUUAUUUGCUCAUCAAUAAUAUACUAUCGCCUAUUUUAUUUUAUUUUUUAAAAACUACUUUUAACAUCUAAAUUAUGUAAAUAAAAGAGGAAGAAUAAAUUAUUAUGAAUGAUCUUAGCCACUUCAGUUUUACUGAUAGUUGAAAAGUCCAAGAAAAUAAAUUAUGUAAAUGGUUAGACUCAACAAGAUAUCACCGUCAGCAACUUGAAAAUUAGCCUGGGCUAUAAAAUUAUUUUUUCUCAAGAGCACUACUAAAAAUCUUAGUAGUUAAAUUGAAAAUAAAUUUGCAUUUUAAGGCCAAAACCAAAUUACCAAUUUUUUGCCCCGAAACCUAAUGCCCCUUAUUACCUUUUUGGCAGUACCUAAAUUAUACGGAAAAGUUUUGGUAGUGCUUGUAAAUAAUCGUGUCUAGAAGGGUAAUGUGAAUUUUGGUUUCUGAAAAAUAAUUUUUUAAAUGAGAACAUAACAAUUGCACAAAUUAUCAAUGAAUAUGAUUGUACUGAUUUUUUUCUCGAAAAAUGUUGUCAAAUAUGCAUGGGUAAUGCAAAUUCUUUUUUCCAUUUUUGCAAUACAAAAACAUUUUAAGAAAACGUUACUAGAUAGAAUGAAGGCAAAACGAGCUCCAGCAGAUUUGUUAUAUGGCUCUCUACAUUUACAGAGGAGGAGAGAGAAAUUGAGGGUUCGCUAUUUCUUCCUCUUCUCUCUCCCUAGGCUCAUGCGUCACAACUAGGGGUGGGCGCGGUCCGGUUCGGUCCGGUUCUCACCUCAAAUCGGAACCGAAACCGGUAUUAUUUAACCGGUUCGGUUUAGGCAAAAAAAAUUUCAAAAACCGGCCGGUUCGGUUCUAACCGGUUCCGGUCCGGUUCUGACCGGUUCCGGUUUUGAACCGGAUUAUUAAUUUAUUAUUUUUUUAAUUUUUUUAAUAAAAAAAUUAUAAUAAAAAACUUAUUUUUUUAGCUUAAAAAUGAACAAAUAAUCCAAUUCAUACAUUUAGAAAUUUUUUGAAGUUGAACUUGGAAAAUUAGUGAUUAUAGAAGUUAAAAAAUGGCAUUAGAUUUUAAAAUUUUAUAAAAAUAUAAAUAUAAAAUAUAUGACCGGUCCGGUCCGGUGCGGAGAGAUGUAAAACUAGAACCGGAACCGGUUGAAACCGGUUCGGUCCGGUUUGUUGACUUUUUUGGUCAACCGGUUUUUUUUUCGGUUUUUUUUCACCGGUUCUGUUCGGUGUUCCGGUUUUCCGGUCCCGAUGCCCACCCCUAGUCACAACCCUCUCUCACUUCUUACUUUCUAAUUUUUUUAAUAAACUUUUAAUUUAGAAAGGAGGUUACAUAAAUAAUACAAUAUUAGAAAUGAGUCAAAAUAGAGAAUAUUGUUAGAGGAAACACUUUUUAAGUAGUUUGCUAUAAUAACUUUCUAACUAUUUUAACUAAAAUUUUAUUAAAUUUUGAAGACUCUCCAAAAAAUGCUCUUAUAUUAUAUUCGUUUUUUUUUUAUGCAAAAUCGAACUGUAAAAUUCGCAUACACUUUUAUUUUAUUAUAUAUUUUUUCUGAAGAGUGAUCAACGCUUUCCUUUGUAUUUUUUUAUUGAAUAUGGCCGCGGUCAUGAUUUCACACAUGAGUACUAGUCACUGUGACUUUUGCUUUUUUUAAUUUUAUAAUAUAUAUAGGGAGUGACUUUUGCUAAUGGGUAAUCCACUUCGUCCUCACCUUUUUUUUUUUUGGCUUUCCAUCGUGUUGAUUUUUCAAAUCAAAAUGAAUCACCAAACUCAAUGAUACAGCCAAGACAACAGAGAAAAACAACCCAAGCUUUGCAGAACUUUAUUACAUAUUUUAUGUUGUUGUGCCAAAAAAAGUUCCAUGAAAACAUUAGGUGCGGUAGGUAUUUAAAGUCUUUGAGUCUACCUUUGUAAAUGUCAACAAUAAUUAGAGUCUUUGAGAGAGAAAGAGACUGGUCUACUUUUGUUAGUCUUGUUACCAAAUACCUGUAGCGGGGUCAGGAUUUGGAACUCACAUCACUAGAAUUAUUUUCUUUCUUCUCGUAUGUAGGGGCUCUUAAAAGUUCCCUUAUUUUAAAAGAUGGAUAGAGAGUAGGGUUGAAGUUAUAUUUUUCCAAUUCUUCCCUAAAAUUUGUUUAAGAAUAUAGUUUAAGGAGUCCAUUGUAGAUGCUCUAAGUAAUCAAAAAUACAAAAACAUCAUACAUAUUACAUAUAUAUAAAAAAAUCAUUACAAUUUUUUUGUGUAUGUAAUAAGUACCCAAAACAAUUGUGUGUGUACAACAUUAUAACAAAUCUACUUGGUGAUUUUAAGGAGCAAGACACAAAAAUUUAAUCAACAAUAAAAACUGAAGCUCUUUUGAAUGUUUGCGGGAAGAAAUAUGUUUUUACUUAUAAGAUGUACGCGCUAGAAAUCAGGCAAGUCUUUUACAAGCACACUCCCCCACAUCCAACCCAGAGAAGAAAAAGAAAAAGAAGAAGGGAAAAAAAAAACAGCAAAUCAGAAAAUGCACAAGCAAAAGAAGUUCACAUCGACUUCCCUUAAAUAAUUACUACAUAGUGGAUGCUAUCUUAAUCCUCAAUAUUCCCUUAAGAGUUACUUUGUUCUUUCACGCUUGAUUUUGAUCCCUUUCUUUUGGCCAGUGGACAUAUCCUCAGCAGAGACACUCAAAACUCCAUUUGCGUCCGUUUCAAAAUAAACAUUGAACUUGGGAACAUGCUUGGGAGCCGGAGGAAUGCCAUGGAGGGUGAAUUCACCUAAAAAAUUAUUAUUUUUGGCUAUGCUACUUUCACCCUCAUAAAUGGAGAAGUUAACAGACUCUUGGUAGUCAUAACUAGUAGUUACACUUGUUGUCUUCCUCACCGGAAUCCUAGAGUUUCUUGGAAUCACAACAUUCAUGUAUAACCUGGAACUAUCUCGUUCCUCACACUCCAAUCCAAGUGAUAGAGGGGUGACAUCCAAGAGAGUGAAGUCUUGAAGCUUCCCAGUUACGUUCCCACUCAAGGAUGCAGCUUGAACAGCGGCUCCAUACGCCACGGCCUCAUCGGGAUUUAUGCUCUUGCAUAACUCCUUACCCUUGAAAACCUCCUGCAAUAGCUCUUGAACCUUGGGGAUUCUAGAAGACCCACCAACAAGAACAACGUCAUCGACCUCGCUAAUGUCCAUUUUGGCAUCCUCCAAACACUUGUUCACAGGCUCCAUGCACUUGUUGAAGAUGUCCAUGUUCAGUUCUUCGAAUUUGUCCCGGGUGAAAGUUGUGUGAAAAUCCUCACCCUUAUACCAAGAGUCGAUUUCAAUAUCAGUGUCAAAGGAAAAUGAAAGUGCCUUCUUUGCUUUCUCGCACGCAGUUUUGGCCUUCCGAAGAGCUUUGGCGUCUCCACCAAUGUCCACGUUCUGUUUUGUCUUGAAUUCUUCCACGCAGUAAUUCACCAUUCUGUUAUCCAAGUCUUCACCGCCAAGGUGAGUAUCUCCGGCAGUGGCCUUCACGUCAAAGGCACCAUGGCCUAUGGUAAGUAGUGACACAUCCAAAGUACCGCCGCCCCAAUCAAAUAUCAUCACAUUUCUCUUACUAAACCAACCGGCCUUCUUGUCGAUUCCAUAAGCGAUGGCUGCAGCAGUUGGUUCAUUGAUGAUACGCAACACCUUUAAGCCGGCUAGUUUGCCAGCAUCUAAGGUAGCCUGACGCUGUGAGUCGUUGAAGUAAGAGGGGACAGUGAUAACUGCAUUUCUUUCAGAAAUCUUUGAGCAAAGGUAGGACUCGGCAAUCUCCCGCAUCUUUGCCAAAACCAUGGAUGAGAUGUCUUCAGCAGCAAAUUGUUUCUCUUCACCCUUGUGGUUAACCACAAUCAUGGGCUUGUCGGCCCGACCUUCAAUGACCUUGAAUGGCCAGCACUUGAUAUCAUUUUGAACAGUUUCAUCACUAAAUCUCCUACCAAUUAACCGCUUUGCAUCUGUAAAAUCAUUUCCCAGUUUAGAUUCUUAUGUCAGGAUAAGGAAACAAAUAAUUAAAAAAAUUAAUUAUAAUUGAUCAGUUCAUUUUAUUUUUACCGAAGAUUGAGUUGGUGGGGAACCUCCCGACUUGGUUAAAUGCUUCAUCUCCUACCAACCUCUUACUAUCAGUGAAGGUAACAUAAGAUCGAGUUGUUCUGUUACCGUGAUCGUUCACCAGGAUUUCUACAUGAUCAGCCUGCCAAGCUGCCACACACGAAUAUGUUGUCCCCAGAUCGAUCCCAAUUGCAUGGCUAUCUUCUGCCAUUACUAAUUUUCUCGGCUCAAAAGCUCCAAAAAGAAUGUCAAAUAUUAACAAGGAAGUUAAAUAAGUGCAGAAACCAGAUGUGGAAGAAAAUUUAUACACGAAGAGGAGGCGAAAAGUCUAAUAAAUCAUUUCUUACUGAGGAAGGAAGCGAAAAGUCUAAUACACACGUAUGAGCUUAAUUUCAUGAUUAAUACUAUACGAGAAUCAAGGAAAGAGAUUUAAAAUGCUAUACUAUUCCCAAUGCAUAUUUCUCUAUCUUAAAUAAAUCAGUAAUUAAUAAAAGGAAUUUUUUUUUUUUUUGGAUAAAUACCACGAGGUGUUCUCACACCCUAAGGCCCCGUUUGGUUUACGGAAUGAAUUUGAGAGGAAAUCAUUUCAUAUGUCAUUUCCUAAUAGAUGGGAAAUGGAAGAUUCCUUUCCCACAUUUGGUAAUGCUGGGAAAGUAACUUGGAGAUACCACUUUAUUUCAUUUCCUAUGUUUGUUUUGAAUAGGAAUGGAAAACAAGGUUUGUAUAAAUUUUCAAUUAUACCAAUACCAAAUCAAAUAAAAAAAAGAAUGCAUUUAAUGAUAUAUUGUAAUUCUAAAUUGUUAAUAGGGACAAAAUGGUUAUAAGAAAUGUGUAUUUAAUGUUGGCUAAUUUUUCCAAACUUUCCAUGAGGGAAAACAAAACCCAAGUUGGGAGAAUGACUUCACUUUUCCCCCUACUUUCCCAUGGGCCAGGCAACGAUUUCCCAUGCCUGGACUUACCAAACAUGAGAAAGCAAUUGAUUUCCCAUCCCCAAGUCUCAUUUUCCAUGAACUAAACGGGACCUAAGGGUGAGAUUAAUCUCUGCUUGAGGUUCAGCUUGCCCCUGGCCACAAAGUGCUUCCAACGGGUUUCGAACCCCUUCCAUUGAGGCAUUAGAUAGCUCGCCAUUUUUACUCAUUAUUUUAAUAAAAGUGUACCAUCAUCACCUUUAUCAAUACUUAACAUGUGUCCAUGAGUAUAACCAUAGUUACACAAAUACAAAACAAAUAGUUAACUAUGGUAAUGCCAAAAAACACAUGUCAAGUCAAGUGUUGAGAUAAUAAUUAUAGCACACCUUGGAUUAAAGUGGUGAGCAAAAAUAUGUGAUAAUUUUCUCAUACUCAUUGGAAAUAUCACUAAUUAUAUUUUUUUCCUUUUGGUUUUCUGAUCAUUCUCUCUACCCUCAUUAAUAUAUACGCCCUUAAAUUUUUUCCCAUUACCUUCCCCUUGCCAUUGUCAUCUGUACUAACCGAUUCUUCUUCAAGGCGAGUAUUUUAGUUUUCUGAUUAUCCUCUUUAUCUCAUCUCCAUUUAUUGGCUAAGCAAGAAAAAAAAAAAAAAGAUAAAAUUUCUGAUUGUAUAUUGUUUUAAACGUUUGGUCUUCGGAAGGAGAGGCGGCUGAAGCUGCUACAAUCAACUCAUCAACUUCUGCUUCUAGCCAGUCUGUUGGAGCUUCCAUGGCCCUAGAGAACAUGCCACCAUUUCCGGUUCCAAUCAAACUUACGAGUGAUAUAUAUAACUAUCAACAGUGGAAAUCUUUCUCUCUUUCAUAUUUUGACCACCACAAUCUUUCUGGAAUCAUUAAUGGAACAGAGCCUCGUCCUGGGCUAUUUGAGUCUACCUUUGGUAGUUGGUCCGGCAGUGAUCUAAAGGGUUUGAGUUGGUUCGACAGAGAUCAACAGGCUUUGAAUUGGAUGAAAGCCACUCUAUCUGGAAGUCUCCAACAAAUAGUCAUGACCGGAGCUGACUCUUCACGAAAGGUCUGGCUAAAUCUUGAGCAACACUUCGCCUGUCUCCCUCAAGCUCACAUCUAUCAGCUUAAAUCUUAUCUACACAAAGUGAAGAAAGAUCCCACCAUUCCGAUGGCUCACUAUCUAGAAAAAAUCAAACAGGUGGCGACCGAUCUCGCAGCCGCCGGUGCUCCUGUGGAAUAUCAAGACCUCCUCCAUGUACACAUCCUGGUGGGAUUACCAGAGGAGUACAAUCCCGUUCGUAAAAGGAUAGAACACUGUCCGGUAAGUGGUUGGGAUGCGUUGUGCGACUUAUUGUUGAAAGAGGAAAUGCGUCUGGAUCCACAGAGCACAUUAAGACUUAGACAUGCUUCUCCUGCCUCUCCUCCUCAAGAAAAGGAAGAGUACGCAAUCGGGAUCGAUCUGGGAACAACCUAUUCCCGCGUAGCGGUGUGGCACAAGGAUCAUGUAGAGGUUAUACUGAACGAUCACGGGAACAGGAAGACUGCAUCUUAUGUUGCUUUCACUGAAACUGAUGAGACUAAUUUGGUAGGUGAUGCAGCAUUUAACCAAGUCGUCAGAAACACACCCAACUCCAUCUUUGGUACGUAUUAUAUUCAUAUGUAGGAUUAAACUGCAUGUUUACGGUCUCCUUUUUAAUUUUGUUCACUUAGAACUAUAAUCAUAAGUGUAUAUAUGAAAUUGUCACUUUUUCUAAGCUAUCUAGCAGCUAGAUUGUGAAUCAACAAAUCUAAAGAUUGAUUUUGAUUUUUACUGCCAGAGCCAGCUAAUAUGUGUUUACUUGUAUUAAAUACCUACUUAACUCAUGCUAUCUGAUAGAGCUUGGCAUCCAUUUGCAGAUACAAAGAGGUUAAUCGGUAGGAGAUUCAGUAACGCCUCUGUUCAAAGUGAUGUGAAGCUCUGGCCAUUCAAGGUCAUUGAAGGUCCAGGUGACAAUCCCGUGAUUGUGGUCACCCACAAUGGCCAAGAGAAACAAUGUUCUGCUGAAGAUAUCUCAUCCAUGGUUCUGGUAAAGAUGAGGAAGAUUGCCGAGACCUACUUGGGCUCAACUGUGAAAAAUGCAGUUAUCACGGUCCCUGCUUACUUCAAUGACUCGCAGCGCCGAGCUACAAAAGAUGCGGGCAUCUCUGCUGGCCUAAAUGUGUUGCGUAUUAUGAACGAACCAAGUGCUGCUGCCAUUGAUUAUGGCCUCAACAAGAAGGCCGGUUGGAGUAGCCCGCGAAACGUGAUGAUAUUUGAUUUGGGUGGUGGCACUUUAGAUGUGUCAUUGCUUACCAUGAGCACUUCUGGUGACUUUAAAGUCAAGGCAACGGCCGGAGACACUCACCUUGGCGGCCAAGACUUCGAUAACAGAUUGGUGAACUACUGUGUUGAGGAAUUCAAGAGGGAGCAUAAAUUGGACGUAAGUGGAAACAAGAGAGCUCUUAGGAGGUUAAAAAAUGAAUGUGAGAAGGCAAAGAAGAGACUCUCAUUUGAGUCUGACAUUGACGUUGAAAUUGACUGUUUGUGUGAGAAUACUGAUUUCACCAUAACUUUUACUCGGGCCAUAUUUGAACAACUAAACAGGGAAUUAUUUACCAAGUGUAUGGAACCUGUGAAGAAGUGCUUAAGGGAUGCUAACAUGGACGUAAGCAGUGUCGACGAUGUUGUUCUUGCUGGUGGCUCUACUAGAAUUCCCAUGGUGCAACAGCUAUUACAGGAGUUUUUCAAGGGGAAGGAGCUGUGCAAGGGCGUUAAUCCGGAUGAGGCAGUGGUGUAUGGCGCCGCGGUUCAAGCCGCAGCCUUGACUGGGAAUGGAAAGGGGGAGUUUUUUCAGGACUACACUCUCAAGGACGUCACUCCUCUGGCACUUGGUGUGGGGGUUGCAGAUGAGAAGUUCAUAAAGUUGAUUCCAAGAAACUCUCUAAUUCCAGCGAAGAAGAAACAGGAAUUGUGCACUGCUGCGAAUGACCAAGUUAUCAUGAACUUUCCCAUAUAUGAGAGUGACAGUAGCAUACCAGCAAAUCUCAACUGUUUGGCUGAAUGCAGCAUCCGUGACAUUCCUCCAGCUCCCAAAAAUGUUCAUAAAUUCGAUGUUUUCUUUGAAAUUGAUCCCAAUGGCAUCUUGAGUGUCUCUGCUGUCGAUAAGUCCACUGGCCAAAACAAAGAGAUCAUAAUCAACCGUGACAAACUGAAGAAGUCUGGGGGAAUUCUAAGAACUAAGGGAUGAGGUAAGAAAUGAUAAUCUAUAUGCAUUGCUACCGCUGAAACAGAAUAUAUUAUAAAAUCAAAUCAAUUUGAUAUAUCUUUACUUUGUUUACUUGUAGCAGGUUAUGUUGUUUUAGGGUGAAAUCAUGUUUUUUUAAUUUUUUUAUUGUCUACUUCAGCAGCCCCAAUAUUCCUGUGGCCGUCUACGCUGCACCGCAUUGCAGAACUCAAUGAUCCUCACCAUGUGGUGCCUUACUGUUUUCUUGUUAAUGCUUAAUUAUUACUCUUUAUAUUUGAACUAUGUAAAGUUUAAAUUGUGCUAUAAAUUUGAUAUUUUGUUAUGCAAACUGGUUAACUACAAAUUGGGUUCAUUCAGCUGGAGCUGGUAUUGGGCUUGAUUUCUUUUGUUUGGCUCAUUCGAGCUUGGUGAUAAACAAUCCAACUACGACACCAGAAAUAAACUGUAUUGCAAUGGUGAAAAAAUAAAAACAAACAUAAACACCUAAACAUUUUCUCUUCAACCUUCUAAUGUCAUCAAUCCACAAACACCAGAAACUGUUUUGUUAAGCCUCUAUCUUUCAAAAGACAACAAUUCAGGUUCAAGAGUUCUUCCUUACCUGUUGCAUACCUUUUAUCUCUUUUGGUAUGUGCAUAUUUUCCAUCACCAUCCAGACUAUAGUAUUAUUAUUGUUGAGGGCCGAAAAUCUAAGGCUGGGCCCAAAUAUAUUUCUAGCCCAAUACGACACCUAACUUGGGAAGAAACCCGACUUGGGUACGCAAGAGUUUGUUAUAUGCACUUGCACACAUGCCACGCUAUGCAACAUGCCACGCAGAAAGGUCGUAACAAGCCCGUAAAAGUGCUGGUUCUAUGAACCCAUGCUCAUUAUCCCGUCAAGCGCCAUUCUGGCCCGGCCAUAGCCUUUACAAAACGGCAAAGCUCUAGCACAAGCAUGCCAAAUCACAUGCCACGCCAAGCGAAAAAACCUUAUUUUUUUGCACCAAGCCACGCUACAAGCUUAAGUGGGCCCAAGUCACGUGAACGCCUAGCGUUUGCUGAGCGGGUUGUGGUAUCGAUGGUUACGAGUAGUCACGAGGCCCAUUGAUGGUCCAAGGAAUGGAAGUUUUUGGCUGCUUUGGAGCACCAAAACUUGAGUCCAUUUCUUGAGCCCAAACAUAUAGGUAAGCAUGAGAGACAACCCAAUAGCCCAUCACCUUAAGAAAAGGCCCAAACAUCUUAGAAAAUAUCCAAUAGCCAUAGCCCACAACACUUGGAAAUAUCCCACAUCAGUCAAAAUAUCCAACACCUUGUCAAAACCAAGGCAAACCCACGUGAACACAAGCUGCUCCCAGCACCUUGUUAAGAUCAAUGUGUUAAUGUAUGCAUUUUGGGUUUUUCUUUUGGCUUCCAUUGACAACUUUGUAAUAGGAUUUCUAUUGUUAUUUAUCAAGCUCAAGUUUAGAUUGAGAAUAGCUUCUCUAGGUGUUCUUAACUAACAACUACCAUAUGGAGGUUCAUGCAAAUUGGCAAAGGUAAAUUGUGCAUUGCAUAACAUUGCAUUAUACUGUUUUCAUAAAAUGAUGACUAGUCAUCUGUUUCUUGGAUGACUAGACAUCCUUGCUCUCCAGCUUGAUAACCAACUUUUUUGUCCUAUUCCUUUUUCUCUCUCUGCUACCACAUGGGAUUCUGACCUAAGGGAAUUUUUUGGUCUGUAUAGGCCUUGCGAUUCCUCUUUUGGUAAGCCAUCUCUUUUGUGUGGAAUUGGAGGAAAGAUUGGUUUUCUAUCUUUCCGUUCUUCUUCCUCAAGAGAGAAUAAUAUUUCAUCUAUGAGUUUUUUCAAAUUGAUUUCUUUAUGAAAAAACUGCAUUUGAAAUAUAAAUAUGCAUUUAGCUUCAUAAAAACAUUCUCUCAUUUAUAUCUAGGUCAGAUUCACUACUGAUUUCUUCAAGAGUAUGGUUUCUUGAAGAAAUUGGUUAUUCUCCCUUGAAUCCAAAUUUUGGUUUCUGUUUGAGUUGAGCUUGCAAGCUGGUGUCAUGGGAUGAAUGAGCUGAAGAAGGAGCUGUCAUUGCCAUGAAGAACUGGGGUUCAAGCUUUGCUAAGUUGGAUAAGAAGAUUGCACAAAGGAGGUAUUGCUCAUCUUCCUAAAUAGAUCUAGGUUUUGCUUGAGCUUGCUUGUGUUCCUUUGUAAGAAUCUUUUUCUACUUAGUGGAUUGCCUGGUCGGUUGAUGACCCCCAGUUUUUUCCAAUGGUAGGUUUCUGGGUGAACAAUUUCUGAUUGCAUCCUUGUAAUUUUUCUGGGUUUGUGUUCUUGGUGGUCGACUAGUCAUCGUAUGAAUUGUGGUUGACUAGUCAUCAUUAUCUGCUGUUUGGUGUUUGCUUGAUUAUGCUGUCUUCACACACUUUCAACAUAGUUGUUGCUAGCACAGGGGAUGCCUAGAUUGAUGGGUCCUUCUGAGUGCCUAGGUUGUCACUAGUAAUUCUCUAGGCCUACAGGUACAUCAUGGUAUGCUCUGUGUAUGUUGUUGUUUGGUAUAAUUCAUAUCUGACAGUUGACUAGUCAUAAGAGUGAUUGGCCAAGGUCUAGAGUGUGUGAAGUUUGUUGCAUUUUUUUGGCUGAAUAUCUUUUAAGUUUACAAUUGGUAUCAGAGCGUCAGCUCUUAAUACAAAUAGAGAGAUCCUAGGAUUUGUUUUGGUGUUUAGGUGUGCUCACUAUGGAACAGGAUCGAGUUGCUGGAUCUUGCGACUCCCCUCCUUAUUUUGAUGGAAACAACUACGCUGCUUGGAGAGAAAAAUUUGAGAUAUUCCUUGAUGCUCUUGAUGAGAACGCAAGUGAGUAUCUCACAAAAGAGUGGGUUGCUCCUGUCAAGACUGUUGAGAGUAAUGUUGUGCCCAAGCCUAGGUCGAAAUGGACUGAAGCUGAGGUGUUUGCUGCAUAUUCAAACAAGAAGGCCAGAAAUGCCUUAGUUACAGCCUUGUCUAGAGCACAAUUUUCACAUAUACAACACAUCCCAAAUGCGAAACAAGCUUGGGAUAAACUAAGGGUGGUUCAUGAAGGGGAUGACCAAGUUAGAAUCCUUAAACCUCAAAUGGUGCUUGCAGAAUUUGAAGAACUUAGGAUGUUUGAAACUGAGUCUAUUUCUGAGUUCUAUGAGAGAGUUGAGAUGAUCACAAAUGAAGCCAUGAGUCUCGGUCAACCUAUUGAUAAGCUUCUUGUUGUUCAGAAAAUCCUUCGUGUUCUACCAUCUAGGUUUAGAGCAAAGAAAGCUGCAAUCAUGGAGGUCCAAAACUUAAAUGAAAUUAAGCUUGGCAAGCUCGUAGGAAAAUUGAAAACCUAUGAGAUGGAGUUGAAUAUGGAAGAGAAUGACACUAAAAAAUCAAAAAAUGUUGCACUUCAAGGAGUGAAUGAUUCAUCUCUGAAAGGUGGUGAAAAAUCCUCAAGUUUUGAGGACGAGAUGGCUUUGUUUGUCAAAAAAUUUAGGAGAAUUCUUAGGGAUAAAGGAAAGUUUGCUAGAGAGGGCAGCUCUGGUAGUGAGAGACAAUUUAGACCAUCAACUGAUCGGUCUAAUGAGAGGAACAAGGAUGUCAAAUCUUUCACUAAAGAUUUUAGAAAAUCUGUCAAGUGCUUCACAUGUGGAGGCAUUGGGCACUAUGCUGCCGACUGUGCAAACAAUCAGAAAAAAUACUCCAAAGGAAAGGACAAGGCCAUGAAAGUUAGCUGGAGUGAGAGUGAAAGUGAAGUGUCUCAAGAGGAUUCUUCCUCUGAUAAUGAUGACCACCAUGUUGCUUUUGUUGCCUCUGUGCAGCCAGUGUCUGAUGAAUCUGAUUCUGAGUCAGAUGACCUGUCAUACGAGUCAUUAGGAAGAAAAUAUGAUUGUUUGUUCAAAGAGACAUUGUCUUUGAAAGAAGAGAGCCUCAAACCUGAGGCCAACAACCAUGAACUUCAACAUGAAAUCCUCAUCUUAAAAGAAACCAAAAAGGAGUUAAAUGACAAAUUUGUGUCUCUAGAAAAAGAAUUUGUUGCACUUGUGUCAAUUAGGAGUAAUCAUGAAAAUCAAGUUAAUGUGCUCAAGGAAAGUAACAUUGGUUUCCAGAACUCAAACAAACUGCUCCUAGGUGAAUUGAAUGAAGCAAAAAGUAAGGUUAUAUCUAUGACCAUUGGUGCCUUAAAAAUUGACAAAAUGUUGACUAUGGAAAACCUCAUGGGGACAAAGGUGGUCUUGGAUUUAAUCAUUUUGAUUCUAGUUCGUCUAGCUCUACCACUAGGUUUGUCAAGUCAAAAACUCCAACCGUGGCUUUUCUUGAUGCUCAGCCGGUAGUCAAGAAACCUAAGUUUGUUCUAACUUGUCACAGGUGUGGGUUGACCGGUCAUAUUCGACCAGUCUGUCAUAUGUACAAAAAGGAUAAGACUAGAAAAUUGUCUUCAAAAUCUAAAAGGAACCCCAGAUCUUUGCAAGAUCAGGUUGAUCAUUUGCUAAAAGAAGUAACUAAGAUUGCCAAACUUGUCUCCCUUAAAAUGUGUUCACCUAUUGUGCCAAGUCUACUUGGGUUGAAAAAGGUCAUACCAAAUGUCUUGUUGUGCUAAAUGCUUUUGCUGCAUCAAACACCAACUCUUGGUACUUUGAUAGUGGCUGUUCCAAACAUAUGUCUGGUGAUAAGAGUGUCUUCUCAUCUCUCAGUCCUUUUGACGGAGGCACUGUGGCUUUUGGUGGAGGUCACAAGUCUCAAGUUGUUGGAAAAGGUACUGUUUGUAUCCUUGGAUUACCCGAGCUUAAGAAUGUUAGAUGUGUUGAGGGUCUUACAUCCAAUCUCAUUAGUGUGAGUUAGCUGUGUGAUGAUGGAGUAAUAGAAGUUAGAUUCUCCAAGCAUGGGUGCAAAAUCAUUGGAAAAGAUGGCAAUGAGAUUGUGAGCGUGGCUAGGUCUAGGGACAAUUGCUAUUGCAUUGAUGGUGUCAAUGAUGCAAAAGAAGUAGUUUGCAAUAAGGUUGUGAAUGAAACAAGUGUCUUGUGGCAUCAAAGGCUUGGACAUGUGAACUUUAGAGACUUGCAUAAAUUGUCCAGGAAAGAGUUAGUGAGUGGAUUACCAAAGCUUGACAAAUCUGAUCAACAUUUUUGUGAAGGAUGUCAAUUGGGGAAGCAAGUUAGAGUGUCACAUAAGAAGGUCAAACACAUUCAAACACAAGUAAGCCUUGAACUUGUUCACAUGGACCUUAUUGGUCCUAUCCAAACCUUGUCCCUUGGUGGAAAGAAAUAUAUUCUUGUCAUGGUUGAUGAUUUCUCUAGGUUCACUUGGGUCUCAUCUUACGUGAAAAAUNNNNNNNNNNNNNNNNNNNNNNNNNNNNNNNNNNNNNNNNNNNNNNNNNNNNNNNNNNNNNNNNNNNNNNNNNNNNNNNNNNNNNNNNNNNNNNNNNNNNNNNNNNNNNNNNNNNNNNNNNNNNNNNNNUUUGUGAAGAGAUGGGAAUUAAGCAUGAGUUCUCCGCUCCUAUUACACCUCAACAAAAUGGUGUUGUGGAGAGAAAGAAUAGAGUUCUUGUUGAGAUGGCUCGGGUGAUGCUCAAUAGCAAAAAUCUCUCUACACCUAUUACACCUCAACAAAAUGGUGUUGUGGAGAGAAAGAAUAGAGUUCUUGUUGAGAUUGCUCGGGUGAUGCUCAAUAGCAAAAAUCUUGCUAAACAUUUUUGGGUUGAAGCUGUAAGUACAACUUGUUAUAUCUCAAACAGGGUAUUUUUGAGGUCUGGUACCAAACAAACUCCCUAUGAGAUUUGGAAAGGAAAGAAGCCUAAUGUGUCAUAUUCUAGGGUGUUCCACUUCAAGCCGAGCCUAUGGAGUGUACAACUAUAGGACCAGAACCAUCAUUGAGUCCAUAAAUGUAAAAAUUGAUGAUUUUGCUGCCUCUACUGAGAUGGCAUUAGAUGAGGAUGGUCUUUUUUCUCCUCCUCUCGUGCAAGAAUCUCCAGGUCUGGAUCUUGUAGUUGACCUGUCAACUUUUGGAAAUUCUGUCUCGGUUGACCUGUCAACUCCUUCAACCUCUAGUUCCAUCUCAUCUGUCCAUGUUGUCAGCUCCCAUGCUGAUCAUAGCCCUCUCACUCAAACUGAGAGUGUCAUUAUUGGUCCUCUUAAUCAGGGAGUGAGAACUAGGAAACAAUUAGUUCAAGAAAUUAGUCAUGUGUGUUAUGUCUCAAAAGAAGAACCUAAGAAUGUGAAAGAGGCGUUGAACCAUGGUGAAUGGUUUCUUGCAAUGCAAGAGGAGCUGAAUCAGUUUGUUAGAAAUGAUGUUUGGUACCUUGUUUCCUGACCUACCAAUACAAAUGUUAUAGGUACUAAGUGGAUUUUCAAGAACAAAACUGAUGAGCAAGGUAAUGUUGUUAGAAACAAAGCUAGAUUAGUUGCUCAAGGUUACACUCAAAUGGAAGGCAUUGACUUUGAUGAAACUUUUGCCCCUGUUGCAAGACUAGAAUCAGUUAGAUUACUUCUUGCUAUUGCUUGUCACUUAAAAUUCAAACUUUAUCAAAUGGAUGUCAAAACUGCUUUUUUGAAUGGUAUUUUAAAUGAAGAGGUCUAUGUUGAACAACCAAAGAGUUUUGAAGAUCCACAUCAUCCAAAUGAGGUGUUUCGGUUAAAAAAGGCACUCUAUGGUUUGAAACAAGCUCCUAGAGCAUGGUAUGAGAGGUUAUCUUCUCAUCUUCUAAGAAAUGACUAUGUUAGAGGGUUAGUUGACAAAAAUUUGUUUGUCAAAAGGUUCAAAAAUGAUGUCUUGAUUGCUCAAGUGUAUGUUGAUGAUAUUGUGGUUGGUUCUACCUCUGACUUGCAUGUUCAAGAGUUUAUUCAUGUCAUGACUAGUGAAUUUGAGAUGAGUCAUGUAGGUGAGCUUAACUAUUUCUUAGGUCUUAAAAUCAAACAAAGUCAUGAUGGGAUCUUUGUAUCUCAAUCGAAAUAUGCAAAAAAUCUUGUGCAAAAGUUUGGUUUGGAGGAUGCAAAAUCUGCAAGAACUCCAAUGAGCACUAGUGCUAAAAUUCAUAGAGACUUGCAUGGCAAAAGUGUGGAUCAAACUCCCUAUAGAAGUAUGAUAGGAAGUCUUCUCUACUUGACUGCUAGUAGACCAGAUAUUUCUUAUAGUGUUGGAGUGUGUGCUCGGUUUCAAAGUGACCCAAAAGAGUCUCACUUGUUUGCUGUUAAGAGAAUCAUAAAAUAUGUGAGUGGGACUGUUGAGUUUGGGUUGUGGUAUACCUAUGACACUUGUGUCAGUCUAGUUGGGUAUAGUGAUGCCGAUUGGGCAGGUUGUAGUGAUGAUAGGAAAAGCACUUCCGGGGGGGUCUUUUAUGUAGGCAACAACCUUGUUGCUUGGCAUAGCAAAAAAUAGAAUUAUGUCUCCUUAUCCACUGCUGAAGCAGAGUAUGUUGCAGCUGGGAGUUGCUGCACUCAACUCUUUUGGAUGAGACAAAUGUUGGAAGACUAUAGUCUUGCUCAAUCAUGUUUUCUCAUAUAUUGUGACAACAUGAGUGCCACAGACAUUUCUAAAAAUCCUAUUCAACACUCUAGGACUAAGCAUAUAGACAUUAGGCAUCAUUUUAUUAGAGAUCUUGUGGAAGACAAAAGACAAAAUUCUAUCUUUGGAAUUUGUUCCCUCUGAGAAACAGCUAGCAGACAUACUCACCAAGGCCUUGGACUUUCAGAAACAUGUCACACUUAGGCAGUCCAUUGGCCUUUGCUCAAUUGAUUGAUUAGCUUGUCUAUUCCUUAUCUUCAGCACAUUGCAGAACUGUUGACUAGUCAUCUUCGUUUUAGUUGACUAGUCAAAUAUUGUUUUGGUGUGCAAAUGUCAAAAACAUAUGUUUCUUCUGAUCUCUGGUGGUAUGAAGUUUGAAUCAUUUUAUGCUUUGCCUGAUUUGUGCAUAAUUCCCCCUUCUUGUUUGGGGCCAUUAGAUGAAAUCUUUUGGUGUUCUUUCGUCCUCUUGUUGAGACAAGUGUUGUGAUCCAUUGUGGACCAUCAUUGUUAUAAUCUCCUAUCUUUUCUCACUCUCUUAGGCAAUUUGUUUAGCAUUAAAUCAAAAAAAAAAAAAGUGUGACCAAUGUAGUCACGACUCUAGGAAGGUAUAAGGUGUUAUGAUUGAAGAAUCUAGAUCAAGAGCCUCAAAAUUGGGCCACUCAAGCACUUAAGUCUGGGAUGUGCAAAUAACAAGGAUAAUAAAUGGCCAGAUUGAGUGAUGAAAAUCAAAUAGGCAGGGUUUAUGCCUUGAGUUUAUCUUGAAGGUUUAUUAUAUAUUUGUCUCUCCAAGAGGGGUAUUUCUUCAUCUCUUGUGUUCUUCUUUUGGCUCUGAACCUCCUCUGUCCAUUUUGCCUUAUCUCUGAGCAUGAAAUCUAAUUCAUAUUCUAUCUAUCAGAGUUAGUUGCACUUGUUUUUGUUUGCACAUGUGGUUAUCUUCUCUCUCUUUUCCUUCCUGUGCUUGAAGACUUGGACUAGGCUAUAGUAGCUAAUACAUCGUUGAUCACUUGAUAUAUUUGCUAGUUCAUGUUUGUGUUUUUUUUAAAAACCCACAAUCUUGUCUUCCACAGGGUCGAUACUAACUUUGAUGCGUGUCAUGAUAUUGCCUUAGUUGACUAGUCAUCUAUGCUUAUGGUUGACUAGUCAUCCGGUUGUGUUAUAUUUGAUGCUCGUGAUGUUAUUGCCUUAGUUGAGAGUCAUCAUUUUUGUGGUUGACUAGUCAUCUAGUUCUGCCUGUUCUUGUUAAUGCCUCGGUUGACUAGUCAUCACGCUCAUUGUGGUUGACUAGUCAUCAGGUUUUUCUCCUGAAUGAAACGUCCUUUUCUUUAGCGGUUAUUCUUAUUUUUAUUUUUAUUUUUAUUUUCCUCUUCUUUGUGUUUUGAGCGGUUCUUUUUCAUUGGGGUCAGUUUUCGCAUUUUUUCCUUUUUAGGUCUGUUUCCCUCUUCUUCGUCAGAGUCUACUUUCACUCCUGUUCUCUCUCUGCUCUCUUCAGACACAGACCCAGGCCCCCGCUUCCCUUUCUCCCUCUGUGUUAGUCUCUUCGCCCCUUCUUCCCUCUGUUUUUCUCUUCCAGUUUCUUCCCACUGACCACCAUGUCGUCCUCCGCGCCCUUCCUCACUUACCAGCGCCGCUCCAAAUCCGAAUCCAAUGACAGAGUGGAUUUUAUACUCUCUAUUCCUAGGGCUCCUAGGACUCGCUCUUCUCACUCUAUUCCCGUUGGAGACUCCUCCCCGUUUGUGUCUCCUGAGGCAGCCUCGUUCUUCGAUGGUGUUGUCUCUAAAAGGAAGUUUGUGCCUGAGAGAGCUCAUCAAUAUUCUCAUGCCAAGCCUAAAUAUUUAUCUGUAAGCAAUUGUUCGUUUUGUUGGUGAAGGAAGUCAUGGUGUUCCCUAAGGCUCCACGAACCUUUCGAAUCACUCUUGGGGCCUGAUUCUUGAACUCAGACAGAAGGGCAACUCCAGCCAUUUGCUCUUUACGACAGCCGAAGCCCAUUCAUAAAGGAGCUAGAACGAAAAAGCCCCUACAAUUAUUACAUCAACAAAAUCCUUGUUUUUUCGUGAAAGACAAUUAUUGCAGUGGAGGGCAUCUUGCUUUGUUUGAGUUUUUUUUUAUAACGUAUGAUUGGUGGGGUAAAUACAAUAUGACCAUUUUCUCCAGAUUCUCUGCUUGCUCGACAAUAUACCUCGCUAACUCCAUUCCAUUGAACCCAUUCAGAGAGUUAGGGGAUAAAGCGGCUUCAACAUAAGAGAUUGCUAAUGAUGUAAACGUGAAUCUUCGAAUCUAAUCUAAUAUAAUUGUAGGCUGGCGAAGCUCUCUCUCGUCUAUGAAUUAGUAUUACCACGUUAUGGUGUUUCAUUACUAUACAAUAAUCUCUCCUAAACUCGGUUCAUUGGUGGAUUGACUCGACCUCCUCCUGACCCGUUGGGAAAAUUUUGUCUUGAGUGUAAUAUAGCCUAAACCCUCUGUCAGUUUUGUGUUACGCUUAGCAAACUCACAUUAUACACAAAACACAAUAACAUAUCUCUAGGCUAUUGACAACAGAUCUGUCUAACAUAAUUAAAAAUUACAUUACAAGGUUAGGGUUCCAUAACAGAUAAACAAAGCCAAAUUGCAUCCAUUGACAUCCAGAAUAAGGUUUUGAAGUUAUAACCCAAAUAAAUUCUUCAAAAAAUUCCUCAACCUUCCUUUUUCCCCCUUUUCAUUUCUUUUGGUUUUCCUGGAAGAUAACUCUGGCAACAGAAUUCAUCUUACUUUCAUUUACCGCCCGAAUCAGAGUUGAUUGCUGGGGUAAAUAAAGUACGACCAUUUCCUUCAAGUUCUUUGCAUCCUCAAGCAUCUAUCUUGCUAGCUCCAGUUCAUUGUUCCCAUUAGAAAGCUCUAUUGUUGCCACCUUAAGCUGAUCAAUAAAAGCCAAGUUUUGAGAUUUCCAGAAUUCCUUAUUAAAUCCACACGCCUGGAAAGGAAACAAGCAAAUCAAUUUGAAAAACUAGAGACCAAAUGUUACUCUCAGAACUGCACUACUACUUAAGAUGAUUAUCCCUAUACAUCGCUCAGGAUACAAACAUUUAAGUUCUAAAAAUAACAUUUCUCAGAGCACAACUAUUUUUAGUUUUUUUGACCCAGAUCAAUACACUCCUCAUUUGAGUGUUGUGGACUUGUGUGUGUGUGUGUGUGUCUAAGAGAGAGAGAGAGAGAGAGAGAGAGAGAGAGAGAGAGAGAGAGAGAGAAAGGGGUCAGAUUUUCCGACAGUAACAUUGAAAUUACUAUUCGAUAGUGACAUAAGAGCAAUUUCAUGUCACUGUCAGACAAUAACUAGACUAGUUUGUCCAAUUUUGGAGGGACCGGACUAUUUUAACAAAUUGUCUUGCAGGAAGCAUUUUUGUUGACAUUUGAUGUUCCAUUUAUUUGUACUAGUCACUGUAACUUUUGCUCUUUUUUCUUAAUAUAUCGGAAGUGACUUUUGCUUAUGGUAACCCCCUUCAUCCUUACCUUUUUUGCUUUCUAUUACGACCAAGACGUCAAGCUUCUUUCGUUAUAAUUAUUGUUUUUUUUAAGGGUUAUAAUUAUUGUUAUAUGAUGACAAUAGUGCUAAUUAUUCGAAAUGGAUCACCAAGGAAGUUGCUCACACUCAAUGAUAAAGCACAACAGAGAAAAACAUUCCAAACUUUACUUAACUUUAUUACAUAUUCAUGUCGGAUCUCAAUUUUCCAUGUGUUUGUUUUUUAAAAUUUAUUGAAUUGAUAUGGUAACCAAAACAUAUUCUGGUAUGAAGGGAUUCUUAACUGAUAAGAAAAUUAGUUAAAGGUGGGGUGAAUUGGUUUCAAGAUACAAAAGUUAAAUUAUAGCUAGGUAAACACGGAGGAAAUAAGGGAAUAAAGAUAGAGAGAGAGAGAGAGAAGGUAUAAUGCAGAAAAAAUAAAUAAAAAGGAAGAAGAAAACCGAAGGAGGGAAAUAAGAAAAAAUAAAUAAAAGGAGAGAGAGAAUGGAUAAAUGCAGAGGAAAAAAAAGGGAGAGAGGAGAGAAGGAAAAGAAUAAAAAGGAAGAAUAAAAAAAGGAGAGAGAGAAUGGAUAAACACAGAGGAAAAAAAAUACCAUCCCUGCCCCGUCCUCAACUGGGAAUUUUUAAAAUUCGAGGAUCCCCAUACCUGCCCUUGAUAUUCCCUUGAAAUCUUCCCCCGUUAAGGUCGAGUAACCGAUGAGUACCCGACCCGACGGGGAUUUUCACCAUCAUUAUCUAAGACUCUCAAACUCAGCACCAACUAUGUCUAACUUUGCUUCGUUUACUUUCUCAUCUCCUUCACGAGUAAGCCUGAGAAUAUCCCAAGCUUCUCUUGAGGUUUCACAGUUUUCUAUGUAAGCAAACUGAUCAUGGUUCACAGCAACAAAUAAAGCAUUCAAGGCUUUCCUAUUAGAGUUGGCAAGGGUCUGUUCUUCAACAGUCCAAUCAUCCUCCUCUUUUAAUUCACGUUCCUAAAGGGAUUAAUGAUGGUUGGAGGAUUCCAGCCAUCUACAGUCAUUUUCCAAGCCUUAGAAUCUAAGGCAAGUAAGAAAGCACGCAUCUUGUGUUUCCAAGCAGAGUAGUAUUCACCAUUAAAAACUGGUGGGUGAGCCACAGAGCCAUGAGCUCUAUCUCGUUCCAUAGAGAUGACUUAGAGUCGGAUCUACACUAAUUAAAAUGUAGUGCCGGCUCUGAUACCAAUUGUAAAGCCAGUCGAAAUCAAUGUGAAUGUACUUGGAGGAAUUUUAUAUGUAUGCAAAUCAUACUCAUACUCUCCACUGAUCAACAAUGGUGAAGCAAUAAAAAUAGUUUUUUGAAUGCUCAAGAGCAAAUUACAAAUAUUUCAAAAACUAGAACUAGGUAUGAAUCAGAUUUGGAUAAUAUGGAGUUUCUGUUUUUUUUUUAAUGAAAAAUGGCUGAGGUCUAAGAGGAGAGCAAGUUAGUAUACAUAGGAAUUUUGAAAACUAGUUUCAAAAUAGGAGUUCGAAAUAAUACCAAGAAGAUCUGAACAAGAAUGAGUGAUUUUGAGAUAAAGUAGAAAGAGUUGACAGCCACAGAAACUUAAAAGUCAAGAUCUGUAAGAAGACAACUUUUGAGAAAUGUCAGAUGAUGAUACAGAUUGAUACCAACAAACAUAGAUCAAUAAAAAACGAGAUGGACAACUCAAAAGAUGAUGUGAAUAGUUCCGUGGGAACCAAGAGAAAUAUUGCAGCAAAUGCAAAAUUAAAAGAUGGAUCAAUACUAGUGAGAAUGGAACUCAAUCAUCUCCAACGAACAACCCCAACUUUUUUUUUUGGCCAAACAAAGAACACCCCAACCAUCUCUAGCCCAAACCAUGUCAUGUUGUGAUCUCAAUUUUCCAUGUGUUUAUUUUUUUAAAUUUUAUUGAAUUCAUAUGGUAACCAAAACAUAUUCUGGUAUGAAGGUUCUUAACAGAUAAACAAAUUAGUUAAAGGUGGAGGUGAAUUGGUUUCAAGAUACAAGGAUCUGGAAAAAUCAUUUCUACAGGUAAACGCGGAGGAAAUGAGGAAAUAAAGAAAGAAGAAGAAAACUAGCAGAGGAAAAGAAAAAGAAAAACAUAAAGAAAGAGGAGAGACGCAGAAGGGAUAAAUGUGAAGAAAAAAGAAAAGGAAACGUAGAGAGAAGGAAAAGAAAGAAAAAAGACAGAGAGAGAAGGAAAAGAAAGAAAAAAAGAGAGAGAAGGUAUAAUGCAGAAAAACAAAUAAAGAAGAAGAAGAAAACCAACGAGGGGAAAUAAGAAUACAAAAAAAGAAAAAGGAGAGAGAGAAGGAAUAAAAGUAUAAAAUAUUAAAUAGAGAGGGAAGAAAAGGAAAUAAAGCGGAAGAAGAAAACUGGCGGAGCAAAAGAAGAUAAAAAAAAGGGAAAAGGAAAUAGAGAGAAGUGAGAAGGAAAAGAAAGAAAAAAUGAAGAAUAAAAAAGAAAAAUGAGAGAGAGAGAACGGAUGAGAAAAAGGAAAUAGAUAAGAGAGAAGGAACAAAAAGAAGAAGAAGAAUAAAGGAGAAAGAGAGGAGGAGUGAACUAUACAUAACUGCAAAAAAAGUCAAUAAUACUACUCGGAUUAAUUGUUUUAUUAGUCCAUAAACUUAAACUCAAUUUAUAUUUGUGUACCUCAAUUUUCAAAAUAGUAACCAUGGUCUUUCAACUUAAUCAAAUUGACGACAUGACUAUUUGUCUUAAACAUUUCUGUUAAAUACAGAAGUAAAAUUGUAUUUUUGUAUUAAAACUCAAGAAAUAAAUAAAAAAUUAUAUCUUUAAAAUAAAAAUAAAAUUAAAUUAAAUAAAAAACCAACACAAAACAAAAAUUCAAAAUCAAAAUCAAUCAUCGUCCCCGACCCCAUUCCAAUUCCCCCACCCCCAUCUCAUCAUCCCCGCUUCCACCACCUCUCUCUCUCUCUCUCCACCUCUGCUACAAUUUGGUUGUAAUAUAAUAUGGGCACUUGAUUUCUAGACACUAUAAGAACUGUUAAAGGUUACUCUAAUAUUAUUGUGAUGCGGCACUUUGAGAGUGGUGCAGCCAAAAGGGCGGCAGUAACUGCUGGCAUUCCUUGAGAGAUCCGGGUUAAUUAGGUAGCCGCGGUCGAUGGCGUACCGCAGUCGGGGAUUAUGGCUGAGGGGUCGCGCUCGCCGCCGAGUCCAGCUUUGAUUAGGUCGCCGUCGUUGUCCAACAAGACGACGUUUUGAUGCAUGUCCAGGGGGAGGGGGGGUUGGGUGGUGGGGGUCUAGGACUGAUUUGGCGCGAGGUUGAGGUUGAGGUUUAGGUGGAGAUCUGACUCGCUGGGUUUUGGGGUUUAAAGGGUGUAUUGCAGAGAUGGGAAUAUUGAGGGAGAGCUGGAGUUGCAGAGAUUCUGGGCUGGACUGGAAGGAGAGAGAGAUUUAAAUUUUGUUUGUUUUGAUUUUUAUUUGAUAGGUUUUAAUUGAUUGCACGUUUUGAAUGCUAAGUUGGAGCCGAAUCACCCCCUCCUUACUUUGCUAAACAUGUCCAGAGUCUAUUGCAAGAGUUCCUGGGACUGCAGCAUAUUUCAUGUUUUUAGGGAGGUUAAUUUUGCUUCUAACUCUCUGGCCAAGAUGGGGCAUGAGAUGGAAAUGGGUAUUCACUGCUUUGUUUUGCCUCCUGGUGCUAUUACCGGUGUUCUGACAGGGAUGGCCUUUUAAGGUCUAGAUUGAUUUAUGUAUAGUUGUUGUCUGGGCUUACCCCUCUUUGUUACCCAAAAAUAAAAAAAAUAAAAAAUAAAAAAUUAUUGAUAUUUAUUCCACCAAAGCUUAGAAAAUGACAAAAUUACCAUUUUUUUUUGUUUGUUUUUAAUAUUUUAUUCAUAUUUUAAUCAAUUUAAGAUUUAAAACAUAUAGAAAUACAAUUUUACCCGGUAUUUAACGGAAAAGUUGACAAAAUUGACGAAAUGAUCAUUUGUCUUAACGAAAAUAAAGUUGAAGGACUAUGGAUAGCAUUUUGGAAAUUGAGAUACUCAAAUGCAUAUCGAGUCUAAAUUUAAAGACUAAUAAAACAAUUAACCCGUACUACUCUCUGAAAAAAAGGACAAAUUGGAAAGCAAAAUGUUAAAACAACAAUCCGGCCUCUCUAAAAUUUGACAAUUCGGUCAAGUCACUGUUGACAGUGACAUGAAAGAGGAGUCAGGAUUUCAAACUAAAAAAAAUACAUUUGAAAGUAAUCAGAAGUGUAUAUAUAUAUAAAGAGCCAUUAAACUUAAAAGAGAAUAAACUCAUCAACUUCUGCUUCCAGCCAGUCUCCUGCAGGUGCCAUGGCCGUAGAGAACAUGCCACCACUUCCAGUUCCAAUCAAACUUACGAGUGAUAUAUAUAAUUAUCAACAAUGGAAAUAUGUUUCCCUUUCAUAUUUUGACUACCACAAUCUUUCUGGAAUCAUUCAUGGAACAGAGCCUCAACCUCCGCUACUUCAGUCUACCUUUAGUAAUUGGUCCGGCAGACAUCAAAAGGGUUUGAGUUGGUUCAACAGAGAGCAAAAGGCUUUGAAUUGGCUGAAAGCCACUCUAUCUGAAAGUCUUCAACAAAUUGUCAUGGCCGGAGCUGACUCUUCACGAAAGGUCUGGCUAAAUCUCGAGGACCACUUCGCCCAUCUCUCUCAUGCUCGCAUCUAUCAGCUUAAAUCUGAUCUACACAAAGUCAAGAAAGAUCCCACUAUUCCGAUGGUUGAGUAUCUGGAAAAAAUCAAACAGCUGGCGACCGAUCUUGCAGCCGCCGGUGCUCCUGUGGAAAGUCAAGACCUACUCCAUGUACACAUCUUGGCGGGAUUACCAGAGCAGUACAAUCCCGUUGGUACAUGGAUAAAACACAAUACAGUAAGUAGUUGGGGUGACUUGUGCGAGUUAUUGUUGAAAGAGGAAAUGCGUCUGGAUCCACAGCGCACAUUACGACUUAGACAUGCUUCUCCUCCCUCUCCUCCUCAAGAAGAAGAGUACGCAAUCGGGAUCGAUCUGGGAACGACCUAUUCUCGCGUAGCCGUGUGGCAGAAGGAUCAUGUAGAAAUCAUCCACAAUGAUCACGGGAACAGGAAGACUGCAUCUUAUGUUGCCUUCACUGAAACUGAUGAGACUCAUUUGGUAGGUGAUGCAGCAUUUAACCAAGUCGUCAGAAACACAGCCAACUCCAUCUUUGGUACGUAUCAUAUGUAGGAUUAAAGUGCUUUGCUUGAACAAAUCCAAAGAUUGAUUUUGAUUUUUCAUGCCUGCUAAUAUAUGUGUUUGCAUGAAUUGUAAUUUAAGAUUUUAUUGAGAGAGUUAAAAUUGUCUAAACUCUCAGUAAGAUCCUUCCGAGGUUAAAAAAAAGUUAUGUAUUGGUUAAGUAGCUAUUAUAUUUCUAUUAAAUACCUACUUAAGAACUUGGCAUCCACUUGCAGAUACAAAGAGGUUAAUCGGUAGGAGAUUCAGUGAAGCCUCUGUUCAAAGUGAUGUGAAGCUCUGGCCAUUCAAGGUCAUUGAAGGUCCAGGUGACAAGCCCAUGAUUGUGGUUACCCACAAUGGCCAAGAGAAACAAUGUUCUGCUGAAGAUAUCACAUCCAUGGUUCUGGAAAAGAUGAGGAAGAUUUCCGAGACCUACUUGGGCUCAACUGUGAAAAAUGCAGUCAUCACUGUCCCUGCUUGCUUCAAUGACUCCCAGCGCCGAGCUACAAAAGAUGCGGGCAUCUCUGCUGGCCUAAAUGUGCUGCGUAUUAUGAACGAACCAAGUGCCGCUGCCAUUGAUUAUGGCCUUAACAAGAAGGCCGGUUGGAGUAGCCCAAGAAACGUGAUGAUAUUUGAUUUGGGUGGUGGCACUUUAGAUGUGUCAUUGCUUACCAUUAGCACUUCUGGUGACUUUCAAGUCAAGGCUACGGCUGGAGACACUCACCUUGGUGGCCAAGACUUCGAUAGCAGAUUGGUGAACUACUGUGUUGAGGAAUUCAAGAGGAAGCACAAAUUGGAUGUUAGUGGAAAUAAAAGAGCCCUUAGGAGGUUAAAAAUUGAAUGUGAGAAGGCAAAGAAUAGACUCUCAUUUGAGUCUGACUUCGAGGUUGAAAUUGACUGUUUGUGUGAGAAUACUGAUUUCACCAUAAUUUUUACGCGUGCCAUAUUUGAACAACUCAACUGGGAUUUAUUUAUCAAGUGUAUGGAGCCUGUGAAGAAGUGCAUAACGGAUGCUAACAUGGACAUACGCAGUGUCGACGAUGUUGUUCUUGCCGGUGGCUCUACUAGAAUUCCCAUGGUGCAACAGCUAUUACAGGAGUUUUUCAAGGGGAAGGAGCUGUACAAGGGCGUUAAUCUGGAUGAGGCAGUGGCAUAUGGUGCCGCGGUUCAAGCCGCAACCUUGACUAGGAAUGGCAAAGGGGAGUUUAUUCAGGACUACACUCUCAAGGACGUCACUCCUCUUACAAUUGGUUUGGAGUUUGCGGAUAAUAAGAAGUUCGAAAAGUUGAUUCCAAGAAACUCACUAAUUCCCGUCAAGAAGAAAAUAAAAUGUCCUAUCAAGGAUAACCAAGUGUCGGUCGACUUCCGCAUGUAUGAGGGUGAGAGUAGCACGCCAGCCAAUCUCAACUUUUUGGGUGAAUGCAGCCUCCGUUACAUUCCUCCAGCUCCCAAACUUGUUCAUAAUUUCGAUGUUUUCUUCGAAAUUGAUCCUGAUGGCAUCUUGAGUGUCUUCACUGAAGAUAAGUCCUCAGGCCAGAAGAAUGAGAUCAUAAUCAACCGUGACGGACCGAAGAACUUUGAGGGAAUUGAGAGAGAGGUUAGAAAUUAUAAUCGAACUCUGAAAAUAGUAUAUAUUAUAAAAUCAAGCUCUUUGAUAUAUCUUUAUUUGUACCAGGUUAUGUUGUUUUAAGGUGAUAUCAUGCGUUUGUGAUCUACUUCAUCCACUGGAUACUUGCACCAUGGCCGUCUACACUACGACGCAUCGCAGCAUUUUGAACUGUUGCAUCUGUACUUGUCAACUCAAUGAUCCUCACCAUGCUCUGCCUCACUGUUUUCUUAUUAAUGCUUGAUUAUUACUCUCUAUAUUUCGUUUAAACUGUGUUAAAGUUGAAUUUUUUGUUAUACAAACUGGUUAAACUUCAAAUUGGGCUCAUUCAGCUGGAGCUGGUAUUGCGCUUGAUUUCUUUGAUGCGCUCAUUCGGGCUUGGUUUAGUUGUAGAAUAAACAAUUCAAGCUGAUUGGGAAUGGGUUGAAGAAAAUGGACCUUCAACAAUCCAACUACGACACUAGAAAGAAACUGUUUUGCAAUGUUGAAAAAAUAAACAUAAACAUCUUUUCCUUUCAACCUUCUAAUGUCAUCAAUACACAAACACUAGAACCCUACUACUCGUACCAAAUACAACAAUAUAGCUCUAAGCUGUUCCUUACAUUAAAAGCAAAAGUUACAAGAUUAGGGUUCUGUAAAUAAAGUUCCACUCCACAUCCAUCACCAUCCAGCCUAAAGUCUUGAUAUUAUUACAUCAACAAAAUCUUUUGAAAAAUACAGGACCUGCCCUGUAUAUCUUCUCAACUGUUUUUUUGUGAAAGACAAUUGUGGCAGUGGAGGCCAUCUUGCUUUGUUUUACCUUUUUUUUAUUACAUAUGAUGGGUGGUGAUGUAGAACAGAUGGCAGAUUUUAUCGCGGUUGAGCUAGAAAAAGGACGUAGCGGGAAUUUGCAAAUUUGUUGUCCGAGCUCCGAUUAGGACGCAAAAUACCAUUUCGGAAAGGGAACGACGCCGUGAUGUACGAUGGAUUUUGGCAUUCUGAGGUCGUUUGGCCUUCCAAAACUGCAUUCAAAGUUUUGUAGUUAAUUCUUUGAAUAAAUUAUGUUUUUCAGUUUCGGAGUUACGUAGUUAAGUCUCUGAAUUAAUUCUGUUUUUCAGUUUUAAUGUAAUAACUCCCCUAGCAGUUCAUGGGUUGAGAGUUGCGUAUUUAGACAGGUUUGUCUGGCGUUUCUGAUCAUCUCAGAUUUUAAUAAAAUUAUCCCAAGAGAAUUCCUCUUAAUUUCUGGUGGAAUCCAGAUUUCUUGUUUCUCAAGGUUUCGCUUGAAACCUUUGUUGCUUGUGCUGCGUCAAGUGGUAUCAGAGCGGGUCUCUCCCGUCUCGAUAUUCUUGUCUUGUCUUAUCAUGGGUGAUCGAGAAGCUGAUGUUCCAGCCCCAAUUACCCGAGCGGAUCUGGACGCUCAAAACCAACGGAUUGACAACCUAACCAACCAAUUUGGGCAGACGCGAGAAUUGUUGUUGCAAGCUCUUGGUGGCAACAAUAGAAGAGGUGGCAGAGAUGACGAAAGAAGAGAAGGUAGAGAUGGCAAGAGAAGAGAUAAUAGGAGGCAACAUAUUCCGGAUAGCGAGUCAGAGUCAGAAGAAGAACUUGAGGAACCACAACCACCGGCUAAUAAUCGUCGUAAUCGUAAUUACGAAAAUUUUGGCGAUUAUCGGAUUAAAGCCGAAAUCCCUAACUUUUGGGGAAAUCUGAAGAUUGAAGACUUCUUGGAUUGGCUUGUAGAAGUGGAGAGGUUUUUCGAUAUUAUGGAGGUUCCUGAGCAUAAAAUGGUGAAGAUGGUAGCUUUCCGUCUAAAAGCUACAGCGGCUGUAUGGUGGGAUCAAUUGCAAAAUUCAAGGCAGAGGCAAGGAAAGCAGCGGGUUCGUACAUGGCGGAAGAUGAAGUCGCUUAUGAUGGAACGAUUCUUGCCCACAGAUUAUGAGCAGAUUUUAUACCGUAUGUAUCUAGGUUGUGCGCAAGGCAACUGUUCGGUUUCUGAAUAUACCGAAGAAUUCAUGCGUUUGGCAGAACGAAACCAUUUGACCGAGACUGACAAUCAAAAGGUCGCGAGGUAUAACAAUGGGCUGAAGAUUUCAAUCCAAGAAAAAAUUGGUAUGCAGAAUAUAUGGACUUUGCAAGAGGCAAUUAACAUGGCGUUGAAAGCUGAACUGUUGGAGAAGGAGAAGCGCCAACCCAACUUCCACAGGAACACGAUGGAAGCCUCUGAAUAUGGUACUGGUGGUGCUUCUAGUGGCUCCGGAGAUAAGGGGAAAGCGCAGCAGCAACCUGGAGGAACGACGAAACCAGCGACAACUGUCCAAAACAAAAACUUUAACGAAAGCAGCAGCCGGACUUUUCAACAGAGGGCAGUCCCGAAAUCAAUCCCAGAAUCCGUAUGCUAAGCCCACGACGGACAUAUGUUACCGUUGCCAAAAACCAGGGCAUCGUUCUAAUGUUUGUCCAGAGCGGAAGCAGGCUAACUUUAUCGAGGAGGUCGAUGAAGAUGAGGAAAAAGAUGAAGUCGGGGAAGAUGAUUAUGUAGGGGCUGAAUUUGCAAUUGAGGAAGGAAUGGAGAGGAUUACCUUGGUUUUGCAGAGAGUUCUUUUGGCACCAAAGGAGGAAGGGCAGCGUCAUAGUAUUUUUCGUUCCCUCUGCUCAAUCAAAAACAAGGUGUGUGAUGUGAUCGUCGACAAUGGAAGUUGCGAGAAUUUCGUGUCAAAGAAAUUGGUGGAGCAUUUGCAGCUAUCAACGGAGCCACAUGUCAGCCCUUACUCACUAGGUUAGGUUAAAAAAGGCCCUUCGGUUCGUGUUGCUGAGACUUGUCAUGUGCCACUGUCCAUUGGUAAGCAUUACAGCGAUGAUGUAUUGUGUGACGUUAUUGACAUGGAUGCAUGCCAUAUUUUAUUAGGGCGACCUUGGCAAUUUGAUGUGGAUGCGACUUACAAGGGACGAGAUAAUGUAAUUCUGUUUUCUUGGAACAACCGAAAAAUUGCAAUGGCAACUACAAAGCCCUCAAAACAAUCUGUUGAGCCCAAGACGAGGAGUUCUAGUUUCCUAACCUUAAUUACCAGCGAGCAGGAGUUGAACGAGGCUGUCAAAGAGGCGGAGUAUUUUUGUCCCUUGCUGUUGAAGGGGUUGUUGAAGCUUGGCAAAGGAGAAAGUGACAUUCCACAAGACGUGCAGCACAUUUUGUCACAGUUUCAGGAACUACUUUCUGAAAAAUUGCCAAACGAGCUGCCACCUAUGCGGGACAUACAACACCGAAUUGACUUGGUGCCUAGAGCUAACCUUUCGAUCUGCCUCAUUAUCGGAUGAACCCCAAGGAGAAUGCAUCCUAAGAGAGCAGAUUGAAGAAUUACUGCAGAAGGGAUUUAUUAGGGAGAGUUUGAGUCCCUGCGCAGUUCCCGUUUUGCUGGUUCCGAAGAAAGACAAGACUUGGCGAAUGUGUGUUGAUAGCUGAGCAAUCAACAAGAUAACAGUCAAGUACAGGUUUCCCAUUCCACGGUUGGAGGAUAUGCUGGAUGUUCUUAGCGGCUCAAGGGUGUUUUCCAAGAUAGAUUUGCGAAGCGGUUACCACCAGAUUCGCAUCAGACCUGGCGACGAAUGGAAAACAGCGUUCAAGAGCAAGGACGGAUUAUUUGAAUGGUUGGUGAUGCCAUUCGGAUUGUCAAAUGCGCCUAGCACUUUCAUGAGACUCAUGAAUCAGGUUCUUCGACCAUUUAUUGGCUCUUUUGUGGUAGUUUAUUUCGAUGACAUUUUAAUUUACAGUGCCACAAAAGAGGAACAUCUUGUGCAUUUGAGACAAGUUUUAGAUGUUUUGAGAGAAAAUAAACUGUAUGUGAACCUAAAAAAAUGUACUUUCUGCACAAAUAAGCUACUGUUCUUGGGUUUUGUUGUUGGUGAGAAUGGUAUCCAGGUAUAUGACGAGAAGAUCAAGGCAAUCCUUGACUGGUCAACUCCAAAAACAGUUUCUGAAGUUCGAAGUUUCCAUGGUUUGGCCACCUUUUACAGAAGAUUUAUGAGGCAUUUUAGCUCCAUCGCUGCACCUAUCACAGAGUGUUUGAAGAAGGGCCGGUUCAGUUGGGGAGAGGAGCAAGAGAGAAGCUUUGCACCGCGCCGGUUCUAGCCCUUCCAAACUUUGAGAAAGUUUUCGAAGUUGAAUGUGAUGCCAGCGGUGUGGGAGUCGGAGCUGUGCUUUCACAAGACAAGCGGCCAGUUGCGUUCUUCUCUGAAAAGUUGAGCGAUGCAUGCCAAAAGUGGAGUACUUAUGACCAAGAGUUCUAUGCGGUUGUUCGAGCUUUGAAGCAAUGGGAGCACUAUCUUAUCCAUAAGGAAUUUGUUCUGUUUACAGAUCAUCAAGCGUUGAAGUAUAUUAACAGCUAGAAAAAUAUUGAUAAAAUGCAUGCUAGAUGGGUGACUUUUUUGCAGAAAUUUUCGUUCGUUAUCAAGCAUACUUCCGGCAAGACAAAUCGUGUGGCGGAUGCGCUGAGUAGAAGAGCUUCAUUGUUAGUCACGCUGACUCAAGAAGUUGUGGGGUUUGAAUGUCUGAAGGAAUUAUAUGAAGGUGAUGAUGAUUUCCGGGAAAUUUGGACUAAGUGCACCAAUCAAGAGCCGAUGGCAGAUUACUUUCUUAAUGAAGGUUAUUUGUUCAAAGGCAACCAGUUGUGUAUUCCAGUUUUCUCUUUAAGGGAUAAGCUCAUUCGGGACUUGCAUGGUGGAGGGUUGAGUGGCCACCUAGGCCGUGAUAAAACAAUUGCAGGGAUGGAUGAGAGAUUUUACUGGCCACAGCUCAAACGAGAUGUUGGAACUAUUGUGCGCAAGUGCUACACUUGUCAAACUUCGAAGGGCAGGUACACAACACUGGAUUAUAUAUGCCAUUACCAGUUCCUAACGAUAUUUGGCAGGAUCUUGCUAUGGAUUUUGUCCUCGGUUUGCCCUGAACACAAAGGGGAGUGGACUCUGUAUUUGUGGUGGUUGAUCGGUUCUCAAAAAUGCGCAUUUUAUAGCCUGCAAAAAGACUGCUGAUGCAUCAAAUAUAGCCAAACUGUUUUUCAGGGAGGUUGUUCGCUUGCAUGGGGUUCCUACAUCCAUUACAUCAGAUCGUGACACCAAGUUCUUGAGCCAUUUUUGGAUCACUUUGUGGAGGCUGUUUGGGACUACUUUGAAUCAUAGCAGCACUGCCCAUCCCCAGACUGAUGGCCAGACCGAGGUUACAAACCGGACAUUGGGCAAUAUGGUACGAAGCGUCUGUGGAGAGAAGCCAAAAUAAUGGGAUUAUGCACUACCGCAGGUGGAGUUUGCAUAUAACAGUGCAGUCCAUAGUGCAACUGGGAAGUCUCCAUUUUCCAUUGUUUAUACUGCUAUACCUAACCAUGUUGUAGAUUUGGUGAAACUGCCUAGAGGCCAACAAACCAAUGUGGCAGCGAAAAAUUUGGCUGAGGAAGUAGUAGCUGUUCGAGAUGAAGUCAAGCAGAAACUUGAGCAAACUAAUGCUAAGUACAAAGCUACUGCAGAUAGGUAUCGGCGAGUUAAAGUGUUUCAAGAAGGCGAUUAUGUGAUGAUAUUUCUGAGGAAGGAGAGGUUUCCAGUUGGCACAUAUAGCAAGCUUAAACCAAAAAAAAUAUGGUCCUUACAAAAGUGCUCAAACGGAUCAAUGAUAAUGCCUAUGUUAUUGAGUUAUCGGAUUCCAUGGGAAUUUCCAAUAUUUUUAAUGUUGCAGAUUUAUAUGAGUUCCGUGAAGAUGAGGUCCUUUAUCCAGAUUAUAACUCAGGGUCGAGUUCUUCGGAGGUGGAGGGGACUGAUGUAGAACAGAUGGCAGAUUUUAUCGCGGUUGAGCUAGAAAAAGGACGUAGCGGGAAUUUGCAGAUUUGUUGUCUGAGCUCCGAUUAGGACGCAAAAUACCAUUUCGGAAACGGAACGACGCCGUGACGUACGAUGGAUUUUGGCAUUCUGAGGUCGUUUGGCCUUCCAAAACUGCAUUCAAAGUUUCGUAGUUAAUUCUCCGAAUAAAUUCUGUUUUUCAGUUUCGGAGUUACGUAGUUAAGUCUCCGAAUUAAUUCUAUUUUUCAGUUUUAAUGUAAUAACUCCCCUAGCAGUUCAAGGGUUGAGAGUUGCGAAUUUAGACAGAUUUGUCUGACGUUUCUGAUCAUCUCAUAUUUUAAUAAAAUUAUCCCAAGAGAAUUCCUCUUAAUUUCUGGUGGAAUCCAGAUUUCUUGUUUCUCAAAGUUUCGCUUGAAACCUUUGUUGCUUGUGCUGCGUCAGGUGGGGUAAAUAAAAUGCGACCAUUUUCUCAAAAUUCUGAGCUUGCUCGAGAAUAUACCUUGCUAACUCCAUUCCAUUGAACCCAUUCAAAAGCUCUAUUGUUACCUCCUUAAGCUGAUCAGUAAAAUUCAGGUUUUGGGUUUUCCAGGAUUUCCUAUUACAUCCGCGUGCCUGAGAAGGCAAUAAGCAAAUCAACAAAAAUAACUCAAAAAUACCAACAAAAGGAGGACUUCUCUGAAAAUAAAGAAAGUAAGUGCUAUUCCCUGAACUAUACUACCUGCCUACAAUUGAUGAUACGCACAUGAGGGUCAUACAAUGAUUUAGAAACAAUAAUUUGAGCCACAAAAAGCUUUCUUGCCAGAGAACUACUUCAAUGUGCUCCUCAUUCAAGAAAAGCCACACGGUAAAAUGAGUUGUGCUUUUAUGUGUUGUGAGAGAGAGAGAGAGUGUGUAACUUACUUUAGGUUUCUCGCAGAGUAAGGAAGUGUCAGAGUCUAUGUGCAAAGUAUUCAAAUUAGGCAUUCCUCUCAGAAGAGAGACUGCUGGGACUAGGUCGUCACUCAAGCUCUCAAUAUGCAUACCCAAUUAAGAAAUAUUAUUGAAUUGUGCAGGCAUGGAACCUUCCUUGAAUAGAACCUGCAAUAGUAUAGAGGCCAACUCUUCAACAGAAAAAUUAUGACCACUCAAACACCCAAGGAGAGAAUAGAGAAACAAAAAGCUUUGUAUGAAUACUUGGCCUUUUGGCUCUAUCAAUACAACAGAGAAAUAUUCUUCACAAACACAAUACCAAUUUGACAUGGUAUCAGAGCACCGAUUCUAGGUGUCUCUUUGCUUUUCUCUCUUACAAAUCCUAGCCGUCUAACUCACUAUAGGUGACGCUAGCAAUACCAAAACCUCAUAAACCAAAAUUCCUCAAGCAGAAACCAUGGAUCACACCGAUCCUUAUUUUUUGAAAUCCUCGGAUCAUUAAAGGCUUGUUAUUGUCUCUCAACUUCUUGAUGGAGAUAACUACAGUACAUGGCACUGCACCAUCACCAUUAGUCUUAGUGCCAAAAACAAACUAGGGUUUAUUGAUGGCACCAUCAAACCUCUCUUUGAGAAAUAUCCCAAAUACCCCUUAUGGUGUCACUGCAACGAUAUGGUGAUGGCUUGGUUGUUGAAUGCAAUCACACCAACCCUUGCUAACAGUGUCAUCCAUGCCGACGCACCUGCUGAAGUUUGGAGUGAUCUCCAAGAUCGAUUUUCUCUGGGCAAACUUACUCAUGUUUUUUAGAUUCGGAGGACUAUUCCCAAACACAAACAAGGGCAACAAAGCGUUUCUCAAUACUACACCAAACUAAAAUCCUUAUGGGAUGAAUUGGGUUCUUAUCAAUCCAUGUCGCAUUGUACCUGUGGAGCCUUGAAAGUGCUGCAAGAACAAGAUGAUGAAAAACAAGUCAAUACAAUUUUUCAUGGGUCUUAAUGACUCAUACACAGUUAUUCGAGACCAUAUUUUAUUGAUGCAAUCUGUCCCUUCUGUUAAGAAGGCUUAUUUCAUGAUUAUGCAGGAGGAACAACAAUGUGAAGUGGGAGAACACAACUCAUCCGACGUCGGUCAUGCCAUGAACUUGAGCAACUCAAACAAGUCACACAAGCCUCCCGGCUCCUCCUCAUCUAGCAAUUCCAAAGCACAAGAAACCAACUCUUCCAAGAAUACCGCUCCAAGGAGCAACUCACGCAAACAAUGGCGAAACCAAUGAAGGCCCACAAGGGUCAGCUGACCCUUCUGAAGUUCUCUAAGUAACCCAGCAUUUGUUUAUAUUUACCCUUGUGUAUAAUUUAUUAUUAAAAUAUGACCCUUCUGGCUGAAGUUCCACAAGAUGUUAUAACUUUCCUUUUUUUUUUUUUUCCUUUACUUUUUUUAAUAACUUAAAAACCACUUAAAUUAAAACCUAUUUCAAAUCUCCCUUUGCGUCAGUCAUUUAAUCUCUUUUUUUUUCUCCGACUCUAAAGUUAGUACUCUAUAUGAAUUCAACUUUGUUUCACUAAAUUAACCGAGUAAGUCUUUAACCCUAACAAUGCAAAUUUUUUCGGUGUAAACUUUUUUUUAUGGUUUAUUUUAUUUUGUGGGCUGUUAAUUAGUGAUUUCUUUAUUAUCUGAAUUUUGAAAUUUGAUAUUAUUGAUAAUGAAGGGAUUAUGAAAAGAUUUUAGGAGAGGAAAACUAGUCGAGGACGAUUGUGAAUGUAUUGGAGUGACAUAUGAGUUAAUACUAAAGACUUUGUAUUAUUAUAUAAAUUUAUCUUGUUUUGCGAUGAUUUUAUUAUUUGUAGUUGACGAUGAAUUUUCUGGCUCGGCCAUUGCACACAAACCUCUCCUUUGUACCUAUUGUGAUGACACUACUCAUCUUGUUGACAGGUGCUUCUACCUCCAUGGCUUCCCACCUGGGCACAAAUGCAUGGAAAGAUGUCAAGCCACCCAAUCGCUCAAAAAGAACAUCUACGGCAAAUCAGACACAAUCCACUCCACAACCUGCCGAAGAAGGUCUCAAGUUCACCGAUGAGGAGUAAGCUCAACUCAAGUCUUUGCUUCGUGAUGGUAAACCUCGUGCUAAUUUCACAGGUAAACCCCAGCACUGCCUCAUCAUCCACCAAUACUUGGAUCCUUGACAAUGGAGCCACGUUGCACCUCCUUCCAGGCUGUUUGUUACCACUUUGCUCAACUCUACAGUUGAUCUUCCUGAUGCGUCUCACGCCAAAAUGGGUGGCCUUGGUUCUUCCUCCCUUGGUCCUAAUUUAUCUGUUGAUGGAGUUCUUUGUGUGCCUUCCUUUCAUAUUAAUUGAAAUGAACCAUCCCGGAUUCCCCCUCGGAAUCCCUGACGAACCUUAUUCAGGUCUAAGACAUGGCUAAUGUCGGCCUACUUUAAACAAUUACCUUUACGUUACCGAAACUAGUCAAUUAAAGUUCUAAUUUCUAUCGAAAAUUCUGCAGUCUCCCUGUAAUUAGAGCAUUUCCCAAUUUUCAACCUAUAGAAAAGUAUUAUAAUACUUUCUAUAAAUUUCCAGCAUGCAAUAACUACCAUCCAUGCACAAUCACAAACAGUUCUAAGGGCCACAAGCCUGUUAUACAAUAUAAUCAAACCCAAAAUCAAUUAUUUAAUUCGAAACGGGUCUCAGACCCAUCAGAUCCACAUACAAUUUAUUAAAAUUCAUUUAAGUGAUAACUGCGAAAUAAACAAGCAUUUAAUUUCGCCCAAGUUUCAAUCGGGCUUCAAAGGCACCAACAUAUUUAAAACCAAACCCAAUAGAAAUAAUAAAUAGGAUUUGAAUCCAAUAUCCAUAUCAAAAUCCAUUCAUGUACUCAGAAUCAAUCAAAUCUUUUAAAUAUAGUUUAUUCUGCACCUAGGUCAAACCCGAGGCUACCUACGUACUGAAGAAGACAAGAAACCAGAGAAACAAAGGAAAACAGAAGAAUAGUUUUACUGAACAAUCCUCUUCUCAUUUACUUACUUUUUCUCACUUAAUUACAUUUACAUUUAAGGUGUAGAUAUACAACCAAGGUUGUACUAAACUUUCCCUAACAACCUGCUGUAACAAACAUAACAGUGUAACAAACUAAAUGAGCUGUCAUGACUUGGCAUCUUUAUCUUUACACCCCCUCAAGCUGAGCUUGGAAAGACUAGGAGUACCAAGAGAAAGCUUGGAUUGAAGAAAGAGGAACCGAUUCUUAGACAAAGAUUUAGUAUGAAUAUCAGCUAUCUGGUCCGGGCUGCAAACAUACUGAACUGUAACCAGAUUUGCAAGAACUAGCUCCUGGAUAUAAUGAUAAUCAAUUUCCACAUGUUUGGUUCUGGCAUGAAAAACAGGGUUUGAUGCAAGGGAGAUAGCAGAAAUGUUAUCACACCAAAUGGUAGGUUGAACAGAGGAGGAGAAACCAAAAUCUCGAAAGACUUUGCAGAUCCAUGUAACUUCAGCAGCAGUGUGAGCCAGGGAUCUAUAUUCAGCUUCAGUAGAUGAACGAGCGACUGUAGGCUGCUUUUUAGCACUCCAGCUCACUAAGUUGGAGCCAAGAAACACACAAAAUCCACCCGUGGAUCUCCUAUCAAAAGUGCAGCCAGCCCAGUCGACAUCAGAGUAGGCGGAUAGAGUGAGAGGACCUUUAUGAAACCAUAUACCAUGUGAAGGUGUACCUUUGAGAAAUCUGAGUAUUCGCUUGGCUGCCUGCAUAUGUGAAUCAGUUGGAGCAUGCAUGAAUUGGCAGACUUGAUUAACUGCAAAUGAGAUAUCAGGUCGAGUCCAAGUUAAAUACUGUAGGCCUCCCACAAUGGAUCUAUACUCUGUGGGAUUGUCCAAAGGUAUACCACCGUGAUCCAGUUUGGUAGUUCCAAGAGGUGUAGAACAAGGCUUAGCACCCUCCAUUUUUGUCCUUUGUAACAAGUCCAUCAAAUAUUUGCCUUGAUGGAGAAAGAGUCCCUCGUCGGUGCGUUGAACUUCAAGACCCAAGAAAUAAUGUAAGGGACCCAAGUCCUUUACAGGAAACAAAGAGCUCAGUUUCUUGAUGAAAAGAUUGCACACUGAUGAAUCUGGACCACUGACCAAGAUGUCAUCCACAUAGACAAGGACAAUAACAAGAACGGGAACCUUGAGAACAAAGAGGGAUGCGUCAGAAGAUGAUUGAGUGAAACCAAGAGACUUGAGAGCCUGAAACAAUUUGUCAAACCAGGCCCUGGGAGCCUAUUUGAGGCCAUACAAGGACUUUUUGAGUUGACACACAUGAUUUGGAAAGUUUGGAUCACUGAAGCCAGGGGGAUGAUGCAUGAAUACUUCUUCUUUUAAAUCACCAUGAAGGAAGGCAUUACUGAUAUCAAGUUGAUGCAGAAACCAAUUGAAUUGCACAGCAAAAGUUAACAAAAUUCUGAUAGUGACAGGCUUUGCCACAGGACUAAAGGUUUCCUGAUAGUCCAAGCCCUCUUUUUGAUGAAAUCCCUUGGCAACGAGCCGAGCUUUAUACCUGUCAAUGGUCCCAUCAGGCUUUUUCUUGAUUCUAAAUACCCAUUUACAGCCUACAACAUUCUGGGAUGAAGAAGAGGGAACCAAGAUCCAUGUUCCAGUUGAUUGGAGGGCAUUAAAUUCAGCUUGCAUGGCUGAUCUCCACGCAGCAAAUUUAGAGGCCUGAUGAUAGGUUGUUGGUACAUAAUCAAGAGAAGAUGAUAAAGGGUGUUUGGUAGCAGUAUAAGCUUUAGGCUUAAAAAUGCCAUUCUUUGAUCUAGUAACCAUAAGAUGAAUAUUUUGACCUGGUAAAGAUGGAGAAGAUGAGUGAGAUUGCAAAGGGCUGAAAUUGUGUGGUGAUACAAAUUCACUAGUAUUAGGAGUAUGUGAAGAAGGAUGGAUGGAGGGAGAACUUGGUAAGACAGAGUGUGAGUUGGGAAUGGGAAAUUGCAGGUCAAUAACAGGAGAUAAAGUAGGGAUAGAAUCAGAGGGGGAUGCGGACUUGGCAGUAAAGGGAAACGACUUCUCAUCAAAUAAGACAUGCCGAGAGAUAUAGACUCUGUCAGUGAUCAUGUCUAAGCACCUAUAACCCUUAUGCUGUAAACUAUAACCAAGGAAAACACACGGCUUGCUCUUGCCAUCAAGUUUAGAGGAAACAUACGGUUUUAACCAAGCUACAUCCAAAAAUCUUUAGCCUAGUAUAAUCUGGUAAUGUAUGAAAUAAAAGCUCCCAUGGAGAUUGCGCAAGACCAGAAAUGGGCAACCUGUUGAUCAAGUAAGUAGCAGUGGAUAGAGCUUCAACCCAAUAGACUCUAGGAACAUUAGAAGCCACUAACAAUGUUCUGGCUGUUUCGACAAGAUGCCUAUGCUUUCGUUCUACACAGCCAUUCUGUUCAGGUGUAUGUGGGCAACUGAACUGAUGAGAAAUACCAUGCAAAUUAAGAUAAGACUGAAAAGAAGCACUAGUGAUUUCACCCCCUGAGUAAGAACGGAUAGCCUUUAUUUGAUUACCAACAGAUUUUUCCACAUAUGUCUUGAAAGUUACAAAGGUAGAAUACACCUCAGAUUUUCUUCGCAAAGGAAAGAACCAGCUAUAUCGGGUGUAAUCAUCUACUAACAGCAGGUAAAACUGAAAACCACUCACAGAAGUUACAGGGGCAGGUCCCCAUACAUCACAAUAAAGUAAAGCCAGACUAUGGGAAGUAGAUGAACCAGCAGGGUUAAAAGGCAGUUUAUGAUUUUUAGCUAUAGCACAGUCCGAACAGAAGAAAUCAACGGAGGAUUUACCUUGCAGUGCAAGCUUAUUACCAGAAAUCACUUUUCGAAAAAUAUUGGAGGAGGGAUGACCCAAUCUACUAUGCCAAAUCUGGACUGGAGCUUUAAUACUGACAAAUGCUGAAGAAGAAAUUGAAGAAGCAGUACCAGGUGAAGGAGAGCUGUGCAAAGGAUAGGAUCCAUCUCUAACUGGUCCCUGCAAAAGCAUCUUCCCCGUAAAACGAUCCUUGACAAGGGAUCCAUCAGAAUCAAGUGUCAAUGAACAUGAAUUGUCUUUGACAAAUUGAAAAGCAGACAACAAGUUGUGCUUCAUUUGAGGAACAUGAAGUACAUUUUUCAAUUGAAAGGAAGCAGUGGGAGUAUGUAACAAAGAGGAACCAAUAUGGUUGAUGGACAGACCUUUACCAUCACCAAUAUAGACUUUGUCUUCACCGGUGUAAGGAGAUGGAGAAGAUAUGUUGGAGAUGUCAUUGGUAAUGUGAGAAGUUGCGCCAGAGUCAAUGUGCCAGGAACGAGAGGGCUUUGAGGUACAGUGCGCACACAUUGCAACAAGCUUGGUGGGAGGGAUUUUACCAGAAAUUGCAGGAUUCAUGCGAUCAUAGCAGUCUAUGGCCUCAUGACUUGUAUUUCCACAGAUCUGGCAAGGAACACGAGCACCAGAGGAAAAGGAACCACGAGAGUUGGAAUUAUGACCACAAUUGAAACCAGAAGGGAAGCCAGAGUUGUGGUUGCCCCGAUGAGAGCCAGAAUUGUAGUUGCCCCGAUUAUUGCCAUAGUUGCCCCGAUUGUUGGAAAAUUGAUUGUUCCUGCCACGAUUGGAAUUAUAUCAAAAAGAGUUUUGAAGCGGUGGAUGUUGAGCAGCAAAUGCCUGAGGUGGUGUAGGAAGAAGAGGCGGUGAGACUUGGGCCGAGAGAGCAUGAAACGGCUCAGUGGUUGCAGAGGAGGCAAUUUUCUUCCUCCGAGUCAUGGAAAGCUCCUUUGUGAGUAAUAAACCAUGUAAUUCAUCAAGAGAUGUUGAAGAGAGACGGAGCAUGAUAGAAUCAAUGAAAGAUUCAAACUCAUCAAGAAGCCCAGCCAGUGUAGCAGCAAUAAGAUCGCGAUCCGAAACCGAAGCUCCGGCUGCAGUGAGGGAAUCAUAGAUUUCCUUGAUCUGUUGCAGAUAAUCAGCCAUUGUUUGGGAGCCUUUCUGAAUACUCUGAAGACGAGAGCGAAGCUGAUGAAUAUGAGCAUCAGAAACACCACCAAAGCGCUGCUCAAGUUUGAGCCACAGAUCUCUGGACGAAGAAACACCAACAGUAAACGGAAUGACCUCCUCAGAGAGUGUUGAAUUGAACCAGAUGAGAAGAUUCUGAUCCUUCUCAUACCAACUCUCGUAAGCAGGAUUGAGUGAUCGAUCUGGUAAAAAUGGCAUCGGACAAGGCUCAGUGCCAUCAAUAAGGCCAAGAAGCUUGUAGCGACGAAGAAUUGGGGCAAACAGAGCACACCAAGGCAGAUAAUUCGAACGCUUGAGCUUGAUCGGCACCAUGCUACCGAUGUUUUGAAUCGUAAGAGAAGUGUAGGUUUGGGACAAAUUAGUGUUUGAAGAGGAAGAAUUGAGAUUCUGAGUGGGGAUAGACGGAAUCGGAGAGGAGGAUUCAAGAGGUGACGCCAUCAGAGAUGAAGGAGACAGAGAAUCAAGAAAAAGAACAGCAACAGUCAAUUGCUUACAGAUCAGAGAUCAAACCAGAGAUCGGAGCACAGAAGCGGAAGAGACUAGGAUCGAAGAGUGCCGUGAGGCAGUGGCGAUUGAUACCAUGAAGAAGACAAGAAACCAGAGAAACAAAGGAAAACAGAAGAAUAGUUUUACUGAACAAUCCUCUUCUCAUUUACUUACUUUUCUCACUUAAUUACAUUUACAUUUAAGGUGUAUAUAUAUAACCAAGGCUGUACUAAACUUUCCCUAACAACCUGCUGUAACAAACAUAACAGUGUAACAAACUAAAUGAGCUGUCAUGACUUCGUAUCUUUAUCUUUACGUACACCUUCUUUAAGGAAUCAAGCUUCACGUUUCUUUAAAUCACCAACUAAGCUCCGGUAUAUAAACAUACAUAAAUUCAAUUCGAAAGGAAAAUCACCAAUUAAUCUUAACAAUUUAAUACCAUGAAACUUUACCAACCAACCUGUUCCGCCAUACCACUACUAAUUCCUUAAAUAAUGUCAAUCCUUUUUCUUUGAAACCAUUCCCCUUGAUACUCCCUAGCACAAGCACUGUACCGUACGUACGGAAUAAACCGGCACAUGACGUCUACUAUAGCAUCACUCAGGUAGAAUUUAAUUCAGCUGCAAAGCAACUCCUGGCACAACUCGGUAACUCUGAGACACAAAUUCUCGCAGGACUCAGGGAGAGUACACAACCUGAGAACGCAUUCCUAGCAAAACUCAGAUAAUCUUGAGAACGCAUUCCUCACAGAACUCAGGCAAUCUUGAGAACACAUUCCUCUCAAAACUCAAGUAAACCUGAGAACGCUCUCACAUAACUCAGGUAAACAUGAGAAUGCCCUCACAGAACUCGGGGAGUAAACUCUACCCGAGAAUGCAUAUUCUCACAAAACUUGGGGAGUAGACUCUACCCGAGAAUGCCCUCGCAGAACUCGAGGAGUAAACUCUACCCGAGAACACAAUCAUGUCUGUUACCUAUCCUCUCAAGCAAUUCUACAAAUUAUUGGGGUUCUUAGAUCUAGGUCCAAAAUGAUUAGCUAUCAUUGGGUUUAGUCCACGCGUUUUGGGUUUUAGAUGUAGGUCCUUUUACUUUUAUUAAUUUUUUGUUGUGUCGAUUUUACCCAUUAGGUUAAAUAAGGAAAACAUAUUGAAAAUAUAAAUUUAAUGCAUUAUUUCCUCAUAAUUGAAUUUCAAAUUUCAAAUUUUGAAUUCUUUCCUUGAUAAUAUUUACCUAAUUUAUGGAUAAAAUAUAAUUUAAUUAAUGUAAGCAAAAACCCACAUAUUAUACCAAUUAUUCAGGCUAGUACCCAGAAAAAAUUUAGUGAUAAAUCGUGUUACCUAUAAGUCGUGAACAUAAAUUAAAAGACUACCUAUAAGUUAGAAACGUAAAUUAAAAGAUUACCUAUAAGUUAGACACAAAAAUAGACAAAUAAAACCUGUAUGUUACCUAUAAACAAAAUACUAUUAUACAUAUGUACCUUCGCAAUAGGUAGUAUAGAACAAUAUACCUACACCAUAGGAUAAUGUAUAUGUUAAUGUAUGCAUUUUGGGUUUUUCUUUUGGCUUCCCUUGACAAUUUUGUAAUAGGAUUUUUAUUGUUUUUAUCAAGCUCAGGUUUAGAUUAAGAAUAGCUUCUCUAGUCCUAUGGAGGUUCAAGCAAAUUGACAAAGGUAAAUUGUGCAUUGCAUCACAUUGCAUUAAAUUGAUUUCAUAAAAUGAUGACUAGUCAUCUAUUUCUCGUAUGACUAGUCAUCCUUGCUCUGUAGGAUUUCCAGCAGGAUAACCAACUAUUUUGUCCUAUUCUUCUUUCUUUCUCUGCUGCCAUAUGUCGAUUUUGACCUAAGGAAUUUUUGGGUGUAAAGGCCAAAGGAUUCCUCAUUUGGCAGCCAUCACUUUUGUAGGCAAGUUUUGGAAAGUUUCUCUAUAAACUUUCUCUUCUUCCUCAAGUGUAACCUUCGUAUUUUUCAUCUUUGAGUUUUCCAAAAUGUUUCUUUUUGAAAACUGCAUUUGAAAUAUGAAAACCUCAUCUUGCGAGAUCAAACACUCUCUCAUAUAUAUCUAGGUCAGAUUCAAGAUUGAUUUCUUCAAGAGUAUGGUUUCUUGAAGAAAUUGGUCAUUCUCAUUUGAAUCCAAAUUUUGAUUUUUGUCUGAGUUAGAGCUUGCAAGCUGGUGUCAUGGGAUGAAUGAGCUGGAGAAGGAGCUGCCAUUGUCAUGAAGAACUGAGCUUCAAGCUUUGCUAAGUUGGAGAAGAAGAUUGCACAAAGGAGGUAUAGCUUAUCUUCCUAAAUAGAUCUAGGUUUUUCUUGAGCUUGCUUGUGUUCCUUUGUAAGAAUCUUUUUCUACUUAGUAGAUUGCCUGGUCGGUUGAUGACCCCCAGUUUUUUCCAAUGGUGGGUUUCUGGGUGAACAAUUUCUGAUUGCAUCUCUGUAAUUUUUCUGGGUUUGUGUUCUUGGUGGUUGACUAGUCAUCGUAUGAAUUCUGGGUUUGUGUUCUUGGUGGUUGAGUAGUCAUCGUAUGAAUUGUGGUUGAGUAGUCAUUGUAUGAAUUCUGGGUUUGUGUUCUUAGUGGUUGACUAUUCAUUGUAUGAAUUCUGGGUUUGUGUCCUUAUAGUUGACUAGUCGUCAUUAUCUGCUGUUUGGUGUUUACUUGAUUAUGAUGAUUUCACACACUUUCACUAUAGUUGUUGCUAGCACAGGGGAUGCCUAGAUUGACGGAUCCUUCUGAAUGCUUAGGUUGUCACUAGUAAUCUUCUAGGGUUGCAGGUACAUUGUGGCAUGCUCUGUGUGUAUUCUUGAUUGUGGCUAUUCAUGACUAGCAGUUAACUAGUCAUAAGUGUUUUUGGUCAAGUUCUAAAGUGUGUGAAGAUUGUUGCGUUUUGUUUAAGUGUCGUAAAAUUUACCCCUCGUCACCUAAGUACCAAUUUCAGUAUCUACAAGAGUAUGUAAUAUACCUUUACCAUAGGAUGAACAAAAAUAAAAAUUGUUACCUAUAACUCAUGUGCUAAAUGAUAUGCUACUGUAUUUGCAUCCCUAAAAACAUGUAAAAUAGAGGCUCGAGCAAAUUGAGCCAAAAUAGACAUGCAGUCAUCCACCAAGCACCCCAAAACGAAGAUCUGGUCGCCAAAAAAGGGUCUGGGCUUGACCUUCGACAAUAAAAUGCUCUGGUCGCCAAGCAGCCAAAUAAAAAUCAGCCUAUAAGUAUUGUAAUAAAAACUAAAAAAAUCAACAAUCAAAUGCUCUGGUCCACAAUGUAUAAUAGUUUGUAACAAUAUGAUUUUUGGGAUAUGUUUGCGAUAUUUUUCUUUUCUAUUCAACGACAAACGUCAUAAAUGGCUAAUUAUUAUCACAUAAAUUACUAUUACCCAAUUCAAGGCAUAAUGGGCAACAUUGGAACAAUAAAUGAUUUUAAAAAAAUAAAAAUAAAAAUAUUAGAUCAUAAAAUAUUAAAAAAUGAAUAUAAUCCUAUGUUGUGGCACAAAAAUUAAAGAACUUCUAUCAAAGUCACCAAAUCCGUGGAUUAAACUCAACUUAUCAAUGAAAAUUUAGAUAUAUAUCAACUUUUCUAUAAAUUAUUUCCCAAUUCUUUCUUCACCCCCUAACCUUGCGUCAAAUAGGGGUGGGGGCGGUCCGGUUCGGUCCAGUUCGGAGCUCACACCGAAACCGAAACCAGUACUGUUCAUCCGUUCCGAUCCGAUCUGAUUUUUGAAAAAAACAAGAGAGAAACCAGAUCAAGCCAAACUGGUUAUUUAUGGUCUGGUUUUUCAAUUUCAACCGGUUCUCUAGCAAGUCACAUACACAGUAGACAAUAAGGAAAAAAAAACAUAAAUUUGGUUAAACAAUUCUUACUUUUCUGCUAAAAAAUAUUCGAUUUUUCCUUUCAUAUUCUCAAAUGGCCGACAUAAAAAUAACCCUAAACAAUCUAAUGCUAAGUAGACCAGAAAUCAUAAACACACUAGAUCUAAUGAAACUCACAACAACAAAAAAUGAAUACAACACCAGAUCUAACGAAACCACAAAAAAAAAAAAUGAAUACAACACCAGAUUUCUCCUUGCAUGAGACUUUAAUGCUUGAAUCUAGUCCUAGGAUCUUAGUUUCCAGCAUAUGAAGAAGGCUCCAUAACAAGAACUCCUUUCAUCCUUUUCAUCAGAUCACACACUGAGAGAGUGAAGUUGCAGAGAUGAAGAAAAGGGGAAGGGGGAGAGAGAUAUCAGAGAAUGACAAAAGAAAAAGAAGACCAAACAGAAGAGGAAAAGAAAAAAAAAAGGGAAAGGGAAGAGAGAGAAGAAAGAAUAGAGGAAAGAAAAGAAAAGGGGAAGCUGGAGGGAGAGAGAGAGAGAGAGAGAAAAGGACAAAAAGAAAAAGCUGACCAAAAAGAGAGCGGCGCUUUGGGAAGAGAAAAGAAAGAGAAAAAAAAGAAGAAGGUACAUGGGUUUUAAAUGGGAUUGGAAUGGGCUUUGAAAAUAAAAGCUACAUGGGUUUUAAAGUUGGGCUUUUUAUUUGGGUUUAAGUCAAAUUGGGGUUAAGUAUAAGAUAUUUUAAAAUAAAAAAAUAAAAAAUUAAUAUAACCAAUCUGGUUUGGUCUGGUCCGAUCUUGUAGUAUGUAAAACCGGAAUCGAAACCGGUUUAAACCGGUCCUGUCCGGUUCGGUGUCAAUUUGUUGACUUUUUUAGUCAACCAGUUUCUUUUUUGAUUUUUUUUAUUCGAUUCGGUUCGGUGUUUCGGUUUUCCGGUUCAAAGGCCCACCCCUAGCGUCAAACAUAAACCAAUUAAAAGUUUCAAAACCAAAGUUAACAUAUAAGUCAAAAUUUCCAUUAAAUUCUUACUCAUGCCAACUCCCCUUACCCUUUGGCUGAAGAAGGAAAUAAAAUAAUGGAGAAGAAGAUAAGAAGAAAGGAAUAAAAGAUUUUAAAGCAACAAACGUAUGAUAAGGAUCUGAAGAAAGGAAUUAUAUCAUUUCGAAAUCUAAAAAAGUAUCUUAAUGUGCUUUUUUAGUGAACUGGGGCAAAGCAUCAGCUAUUGCGUAAGAGAAUUUUUGACACUUUUACACUGAGACCCCUUGGCCCGAAAAUCCUGGAUCUGCGCUGUAUCAGGAUUUCAAUUAUAUUAAUAACAGUUGGGAGUUGGAGUUGGAGUUGGAGUGAAGAUCACUUUUUCAUCGAUGUUAUACCCAAACCCGCAAAGGAAAAGAGGUGUCAGGUCAAUUUUUAACCUCUAUUAAUAAUAGUGUGGUGUUUGUGUUUACAUUAGAAUGUGUUUGUUCUGCAUAUAGUGGUAGUGGAUGUUCAAUGUCGAUGUUGAGGAUUCCAAAUCAUAAUUUGUAUUGUUGUGAUCUUUGUCUAUAACCUGGGUAUCUUUUUAAUUUUUUUUUUAUGAAAAUAACCUGGGUAUCUUUCAUUGUCGAUAAAGCAUCAGCUAUUGCGUAAGCAUUAGUUUAUUACACUUUUCACUUUCUCCGUGCAUAAAUUUUCUUCCACUGGUUUCUACACUGAUUUAAUAUUUCCUGCUAAAAUAUGAAAACUAUGAGAGAAUAUUUGUUUGUGGGAAUUUUUUGUGUAUUCUUCUUCUUGUAGGAGGUCAUAUUUAUAAUACAACGAAAUCUGAAUGGGCAAGUAAAUAAUAAAUUCCUAAAUUUAUUUACAGUAGGAAAUCAGGAAUUAAAGUAAAUCAAUUACAAUUAUAAUAGGAAUUCUUGGUGUGUAAGGAAAGUAAGUCAAUAUCCACAAGUCACGCCAACUCUCCCCCUCACGUUGGUGCAUUGAUGUCUCCAGUGCCCAACUAAACCAAUGAAUUGUGGAAAGGCUUUACUGGAAAUCGCCUUUGUCAAAUAUCCGCCAAUUGAUCCUCGGAUUUCACAAAGGAAACUGAAAAUACUUUAGCUUCAAGCUUCUGUUUAAUGAAGUGUCGAUCCACCUCAACAUAUUAGUACAAUCAUGCUGAACUGGAUUCUGCACAAUAGCUAUAGUAGCCUUAUUGUCACAAAAUAGAUUCAUUGUGGAUGUAUGUUUAUACCCAAGUUCAGUAAGCAACUUUCUUAACCAAAGAUGUUCACAAAUCCCUUUAGACAUGCUUCUGAACUCGGCUUCUGCAUUGGAUAAAGCUACUACAUUAUGUUUCUUGCUCCUCCAUGUUACCAAAUUACCUCCCACGAAUGUGAAGUAACCCGAUGUGGAUUUUCUAUUUGUUAUAUUACCUGCCCAAUCUGCAUAUGAAUAACCAUCAAUAUUUAGAUGACCAUGCUUUGAGAACAUAAGUCCUUUUCCAGGUGCAGACUUCAAAUAUCUAAAUAUCCAAAGAACUGCAUUCAUGUGGUCUUCACUUGGAGAGUGCAUAAAUUAACUGACAACACUCACCGCAUAAGCAAUGUCUAGUCGAGUAUGUGACAAAUAGAUCAAUCUUUCCACUAACCUUUGGUAUCUUUCUUUGUUAGUUGGAACUUGAUUCAGAUAUUCUCCAAGAUGAUGAUUCCGAACAAUAGGAGUGUCCACAGGUUUGCAAUCUAGCAUUCCUGUGUCUGUCAACAAGUCCAAGACAUAUUUCCUUUGAGAGAGAAAUAUGCAUUGUUGCGAUCAAGCCACUUCAAUUCCCAAGAAAUACUUGAGUCCACCUAGAUCCUUCAUCUCAAACUCAGUAGCCAAAUAGUCUUGUAGCUGUGAUAUUUCCCGUUUAUCAUUCCCAGUAAUAAUUAUAUCAUCAACAUAGAUUAUUAAUGUUGUUACCUUCCAUUUCCUAUGUUUCAAGAACAAAGUAUGAUAUGAGUUGCACUGUUUGAAAUCAUUGUUCUUCAUUGCCAUGGUGAACUGUCCAAACCAUGCCCGUGGUGACCGUUUCAAUCCAUACAAUGCUAACCUGCAAACUGUUCCAGUCUGAGUAGUAUUAUAUCCAGACAGAAUGUCCAUGUGCACCUCCUCUGUGAGUUCGCCAUGUAGAAAAGAAUUCUUUACAUCAAAUUGAUGUUGUGGCCAAUCCAAAUUAGCUGCAAGGGACAAUAAGACUCUGACGGUGUUUAACAUUGCAACUAGUGCAAAGGUUUCGUCAUAGUCUAUACCAUAGGUCUGUGUGUACCCUUUUGCCACAAGUCUUGCCUUGUAUCGCUUGAUAGAUCCAUCUGCAUUGUGUUUUAUAGUAAACACACAUCUACACCUGAUAGUCUUUUUUCCUUAUGGUAUAGUCUCCAAUGUCUAAGUCUGAUUUUUCUCAAGAGCUUUCAUCUCCUCUUUUAUAGCUUGGAACCACUUAGGAUCUUUCAAUGCUUCAGAGACCUUAGUUGGAAUAUGGAUAGCAGACAACUGAUGCAUAAAAACCUUGAGUGGUUCAGACAACUUUUCAGUGGAUACAUGGUUUGCAAUUGGAUACUUGGAUGUCUUGCCAAUAUCAGGUGAAUAACGGUUUGGCGGCUUCCCACGAUUUUGCCUGAAAGGUAAUUGAUAUCCAAUAGUUUUAUCCUCUAAAUGCACAAGUCUAGUAGGAGUAGUUACCUCAAAGAUAUUCUCUGGAGAUUGGUCUGUCGGUACUGUUGAGUGAGGGGGGGUCUUCAUCUUGUUGUUCUGAGUUGUCUGUAGGAGUAUGACUCGAAUCAAAAAUAGCUUCGCAAGCGUUAGGCGAUUGAUCGUUGUUUGUCAGAGAGCAUUCGCACGUGCCAGACUCCGGACGAUCGAUUGUUAUUGUUUCUUGGUUGAAAGUAAUCUUCGUGCAUAGAUGAAUAUCUUCGUUUUCUAAGCUGCUCCAAUUGAGCUCUUCACUCUGUAUCUCCCCCUGAAGAGUAGAAUUGGAUGCUGGGUCAUAGAAGAACAUCUUCGAUUCCAGAAAGAUGACAUCCAAAGUGACAUAGGUGUGCCAGGUAGGAGGGUGAUAAUAUCAGUAGUCUUUCUUAUGAGUGGCAUAACCCAAAAAACACAACGAAUCGCACAUGGAUCAAGUUUGCUUCGUUGAUUUUUGUGGAGAUGAACGAAGGCCACACAACCAAAAAUGCGAGGGGUAAGCACCAAAACAGAGGGCAGAGGCCCGUGUUGCGCGAGCACUUGUAAUGGAGUUUUGAAGUUCAAGACCCCAGAAGGCAUGCGGUUGAUAAGGUGGACAGCAGUGAUGAAAGCAUCAUCCCAGUGAUGACGAGGAACAUGGCCACCAAUGGGAAGAGCACGGGUUAUUUCAAGGAGAUGACAAUUCUUCCGUUCGGCAACACCAUUUUGUUGUGGUGUCUGGGGGCAAGUUGUCUCAUGAAUAAUGUCAUAUGUCUGGAAGUAAGUCUGAAAAUCAUGAUUAACAAAUUCUCCACCGUUGUCAGAGCGAAGAAUUUGUAUUCGAGCAUUGAACUGUGUUUUCAUCUGUGUUGUGAAAGGAUUGGAACAAGGAAAACACUUCAUUCUUAUUUUUCAUCAAAUAAAGUCAUGUCAUCCGUGUACAAUAAUCGACGAAUAUGACAAACCAACGAAUACCGGAAUGAGUAGAAAUAGGUGUGGGUCCCCAAACAUCAGAAUGAAUUAAAGCAAAAAGAAUAGUACUUUUAUUCAUACUUAAAGGAUAAGAUGCUCUGUGACUCUUGGCUAAAAUGCAAGUGUCACAUUUAAAAUUUGAGUCCUCAAAUACAGAAAACAACUUGGGCAAUAAGUGUCUCAUAUAACCAAAAGAUGGAUGACCCAAACGUUGGUGCCAGAGGUAAAUCUGUCGAUGCUUGUCAUCAGACGGAUGCUUCACAUUGUUGGCACGUCCCAUACUGAAGUCAUCCACAUAGUAUGAAAGGACCCGCCCCGAAUUUCCCAAAACCCCAGGCGAAUCCUGUGAGAUUCCCAACAUCACCUUGAUGUCGGGCUCACUUACUAAAAACCGAGACUUUCUGCCGAAAUUUCGGCAGAGUCUCCCCUAUAACUUGGGCAUUUCCCAAAAUUUCAACCUGCAUAAAAACGCAUUUAAUAUCCACAACUGGCAGCAUGCACAAUAUAAUUUCAUGCAAUUCACAUAAAUGGCCUUCGGCCUUCCAAUAAUUCUCAACUACCAAGCAUGCUAGCAAAUCAAUUCAUGCCUUAAGCAAGGCAAACGAUAAAUUCAAAUAUAAAUUAUGACUAUUAAAUUUCAACAUACAUUAUCUAACUUUUCAAUUUCAACAUACGAGGUUUUAACCUCCUAACACAAUCACAUCUAUAUCCGCGACUGCACCUAAUAACCUUAGGCUGCCUAUGUACCCUCCUUGAGGGAUCAGGCCACACGUAAUUCUUCCAUAAAACCCCAUUCCACACAUAGGCAAUACCUUAUUUUAUUUUUCUGUAUUUCAAAUUAUCUCCCCAUACGCCGGUACAGCCAACGCCAUGUAUGGGGCCUGUCAACACGCUGGAUAACCUACGCCACGUGCGACCAUACCAUACUAUCACAAUAUCUCCUCAUACGCCGGUACAACCAACGAAACGUAUGAGGUCUGUCUCAAUACCGGAUAACCUACACCACGCGAGACCUGAACAUCAUAUCUCAUAUCUCCCCAUACGCUGGUACAACCAACGCCACGUAUGGGGUCUGUCGACACGCUGGAUAACCUACGCCACGUGCCACAUCAACACAAUAUCACAUAAUAUCCCUAUACGCCGGUACAACCAACGCCACGUAUGGGGUCUGUCUCAACGCUGGAUAACCUACGCCACGCGAGACCUACACAUCAUAGGGUGGUACGUGUAGUGUAACCAAAAUCCGGGGAUGUGCCUAAGGUAGUGCGUAUGACACUUCAAACUGACAUUCUAGACUCUUUUUGUACAUUUACAAACAUAUAUAAAUAUAUAAUUUAAUUCUAAUAUUGUGUAAACCUCAACAAUAGUCUAGCACCCGAUAAUCCCCUUGGAAAGGUGAGACUACUACGGAAGACUCACGGUCAACCAAGGGUCAAACUACCCUAACCCUGGUCAAACGGGCCCACGGGGCCCACGACCUCCAAAUUCUGAUUCGAAAGUUCCUAUGGGUUCUACAAGGUACAGCACACUCGUCCUGCAAGUUUGGUUCAGAUCGGACGGUCAAAUCGCUCACGAUCGCACGAUCUGACGGUUAAUAUAAAACAUAAAAUUUAAAUUAUUUAAUCGGAACAUUCGGGGCUCCGAUUUACGAUCCGUGAAUUCCUACACGAUCCUAGAAAUACCUAGAUUAACAUAUAUUAAAUUUGAGACCGUCCAACGGUCCCAACCUAUCUAACCCGGAUAAUGCGCAAUAUGCGAUCGUCCGUUCGAUAGUCAAACGACGUCCGAAUUGAGAUCCAUGAAAUCCUACGCACUCGUGAUAACUUAAGGAUCUCAUUGAGACACAGUGCUACUCCCUUACCCUCGCCCACGCACAGCCACACGCUCUGGCAGCGUUUGGUGUCCAAAGCGAUUACGCAUCGCCGGAAAAUCUCAAAAUCAUGGCUCGAAACUCCUACCCUAGGUAUAACACCCUAUUUAGAGCCACUUUUGUUCUUAGACCUACCCCAAAAACUGACCGGAAGUGGCCGGAAUCGCGAUCCCAAAACUGACCGAAUUUCAAUUCGUAAAUCGAAUUGGCUACGCUAAGAAUUGACCCAAUCCUACCCAAGAAGCAGCUAGAGCAUGAAAAGUAAGUGAGAAACCAUAUCUCGCUCGUUGGAAUCGGUGGCCGGAGGAGGGAGAUCGACGACGGCGAAGAUCGAACGACACCGACCGCUUCUUCUCUAUUUUUCGGCGAAACCACGGCGGCUGGAGGCGGGAGUCGGCUGGGGCUGGAAGAGGACGAUGCCAUGGUCAUUUUGGUACCGGCCCCGUCCACAGUCGUGGCCGGUGGCCGGAGUUUCGAGGGGAGAGAGAGAGACCGACGGAGAGAGAGAGAGAGAGCUCGCGGGAGGGAGAGAGAGAGAGAAAUCUAAUUUUUUAUAAAAAUCCCAUUUCGAAAUAAUUACGAUUGUGCUACUGAGUUUCUUUUGACCAUAUCUCUCUCGUUACAACUCCGAUUCGAGCCCACUAUGUGUCUACGAACUCGUCUCAGUACGACCUAUCGACAAAUACUAGUCACUACUCUAAACUCUCUCCGAUUAAGAAAAUGAUCAAAAUGCCCUUAUCUCAAGGGUAAAUUUGUAAUUUCCCUUAAAUAAUUUAAAUAACUUAAAUAAAGGUUAAAUUUGGAGUCGGGGUGUUACAUAGUACAACUCCCAUCUUUUAGUACCAUGCCCAAUGAUCUCAUUCGUGAGAAUAUCCUGUAGUAAACAAAAAUUGGGAUAAAUUAGUGCACAAUAAUUUUAUUGUUCAGUUGCCUGGCUCACAUACAUUAAUUUAUUGGACAAAGAUGGAAUGAGUAGAGUAUUAGAAAGGGACAUAGAAGGUGAAAGGGCAACAGUGUCGGCCUCUGUCACAGGAUAGGUAACUCCAUUCGCAUUGGCAAUACUUAUGCGGCGGGGAGUAGUGGUGUGCAAAAAAUUAUUCGGAUCAAAGGUCAUAUGAUCAGUGGCUCCAGAAUCAAUUAUCCAACCAGUAGUAUCUCAUAGAUCAGAAGUAUGAAAUGCAUAACCGCAAUUACCUGAGACAUCCGGAACCGCGGGACUAUCAGUAGGGUCUACCUGCGGGAAUAAGGCUAAUUGGGGUUCGGUAGAGACAAAAGCAGUACGGCCGGAAUUACUAGCAGUUUCUCUGAGAUUGCGAGUGCGGAGGUCCUCCCACCAAUUAGGAUAACCAUUCAGCUUAAAACAGGUGUCACGGGUAUGUUUAAGGUUGCCACAAUGCGUUCAACCACUUCCAUAAGUCGAAGCCUUGGGACGAGAAUGUGGGAUGGUUUUAGGAGGUGGCACACCAACAGCAGUGGCAUAUGACUGGAUCUGAACGUGGGCCACAGUAGAGGAAUUAUGGGGCUGUCCGGCACGAGUAGGGGGACCUGAUCGAGGUGCACUCUUGGCCGCUAAGCCAGCGCCAGUGGGUGCAGAUGAACCCAUCAUCACUGCUUGUCGAACAUUUUCACGGCGAACAUAGGCAUAAGCUUGGUCCACAGUAGGGAAUGAAGUCAUGUGAAGAACAUCACUUCGGGCCUUAUCAAGAUGAUCAUCGAGGCUAUCCAAAAAUAUGUAAACUCGAACUUCCUGCAGAAUAUCAUUAUAGCGCUUGAUAUCACUUUCAUACUCCAUCAUAUUUGGACGACGGGAAAUCAAUCUCUCUCCAUAAGCUUUGGAGAGUAUUGUAAUAGGUUUCAAUGGAGCCGCCAGCUUAUCGCAUUUAAGGACCCGCCCCGAAUUUUCUCAAAAUCCGAGACCAACCCUUUGGAAUUCCUGACAUCACCCCAAUGCCAGGCCCACUUACUAAAAACCGAGACUUCCUGCUGAAAUUUCGGCAGAGUCUCCCCUAUAAUUUGGACAUUUUCCAAAAUUUAUACCUGCAUAAAAACACAUUUAAUAUUCCCAACUGGCAGCAUGCACAAUAUAAUUUCAUGCAAUUCACACAAACGGCCUUCGGCCUUCCAAUAAUUCUCAAGAAAACUACCAAACAUGCUAACAAAGUAAUUCAUGCCUUAAACAAGGCAAACAAUUCAAAUCUAAAUUACGACUAACAUUUAGUCUGCGGCUGCACCUAAUAACCUUAGGCUGCCUACGUACCCUCCUUGAGGGAUCAAGCCACACGUAGUUCUUCCCUAAAACCCAAUUUCACAUUUGGGCGAUACCUUAUUUCAUUUCUUUGUAUUUCAUAUAAUCUCCCCAUACGCCGGUACAACCAACGCCACGUAAGGGGCCUGUCAACACGCCAGAUAACCUACGCCACGUGCGACCAUGCCAUACUAUCAUAAUAUCUCCCCGUACGCCGGUACAACCAACGCCACGUACGGGGUCUGUCUCAACGCCGGAUAACCUACGCCACGCGAGACCUGAACAUCAUAUCACAUAACUCCCCAUACGCCGGUACAACCAACGCCACGUAUGGGGCCUGUCCCAACGCCGGAUAAGCUACGCCACGCGGGACCUCAAUAUCAUAUCACAAAUCUCCCCAUACGCCAGUACAACCAACGCCAUGUAUGGGGUCUGUCGACACGCCGGAUAACCUACGCCACGUGCGACCUCAACACAAUAUCACAUAAUCUCCCCGUACGCCGGUACAACCAACGCCACGUACGGGGCCUGUCUCAACGCCGGAUAACCUACGCCACGUGAGACCUGAACAUCAUAUUACAAAUCUCCCCAUACGCCGGUACAACCAACGCCACGUAUGGGGUCUGUCCCAACGCCGGAUAACCUACGCCACGUGGGACCUAACUUUCACUUGGUGGUGCAUAUAGUGAAUCCAACAUCCGGGGAGGUACCUAAAGUAGUGCAUAUAGCACUCCAAACGGACAUUCUAAACUCUGUUGUACCCUUGUACAACCAUAUAUAAUUAUAAUUAUAUAAAUAAAUUCUAAUAUUGUGUAAUCCUCCACAAUGGUCUAGCACCCGAUAAUCCCCCCUUAAAAAGGUGAGAUUACUCCAGAAGACUCACGGUCAACCAAGGGUCAAACUACUCUAACCCUGGUCAACCGGACCUGCAGAACCCACUACCUCCAAUUUCCGAUCCGGAAGUCCCUAUGGGUUCUACCAGGUAUAGGACACUUGUCCUGCAAGUUUGGUUCAGAUCGGACGGUCGGAUUGUUCACGAUCGCACGAUCUGACGGUUAAUAUAAAAUAUAAACUUAAAAUUAUUAUUCGGAACAUCCGGGGCUCCGAUUCACGAUCCGUGAAUUCCUACAUGAUCCUAUAAAUACCUAGAUUAACAUAUAUUAAAUUUGGGACCAUCCGACGGUCCCAACCUAUCGAACCCGGAUAACGCGCAAUAUGCGAAUAUCCGUUCGAUAGUCAAACGACGUCCGAAUUGAGAUCCGUGAAAUCCUACGCACUCGUGACAACCUAAGGAUCUCAUCGGAACACAUCGCUACUUUUUCUACAGUGCCCACGCACCGGCAGCGCGUGGGUGCCCAAAGCGAUAACGCUUCGCAGGAAAAUCUCAAAAUCACGGCUCCAAAUUCCUACCCUAGGUAUAACACCCUAUUUGGAGCCACUUUUGUUCUUGGACCUACCCCAAAAAGUGGCCGGAAAUGGCCGAUCACGGCGGCCGAAAUUCGGCCGAUUUUCAAUUCGAAAAUCGAGUUGUCUACACUAAGAAUAGAUCUAAUCCUACCCAACAGACAGCUAGAGCAUGAAAAAUAGGUGAGAAACCAUACCUUGCUCGUCGGAUUUGGUGGCCGGAGGAGGGAGAUCGAGCUCCUUGAAUUUUGGGUUAAAAUCGGUCGGAUUUUUGCAUUUUCCGGCGAGCACAGGUGGUUCCAGUGGCUGAGAUCGGUCGGGAUGGAAAGAGGAGGAUAGCACGGUUCUUUUGGGACCGGUGCCACCCCGAGUGGUGGCCGGAUGCGGCGGCGGCGGCCCAAAAACCGCCGCUGUGAACAGUAACAGGGGGGCUGUUCUGCGCGCAGGGGAGAGAGAGAGAGAGAGAGAGAGAGAGAGAGAGAGAGAGAGAGAAUCCGAUUUUUAAAAAAAUCUCAUUUCGAAAUAUUUACGAUUGUGCCACUGGGCUUCUUUUGACCAUAUCUCUCUCGUUACAACUCUGAUUCGAGCCCACUACGUGUCUAUGAACUCGUCUCAGUACGACCUAUCCAAAAAUACCAGUCGCGGUCCCAAACUCUCUCCGAUUAAAAAUAUGACUAAAAUACCCUUAAAUAAUUAAAUAAUUAAAUAAGGGUUAAAUUUGGGAAAAUUUGGGGUCGGGGUGUUACAUCGCAUACGGGAGACUCAUCGUUUCAAAUCAUAAACCUGAGAGGUGUCAGUGCCAUCAUAGUAAGUUGUGGCAAUUGCAUCAAACACUGCUUUUGCCGUUGGAAAACGAAUGAAAUUGCCAAUCAAGCUCUGCUCCAGAGAAUUGAUGAGCCAUCCCUUCACAAUAGAGUUCUCAGUGCCUCAUCGAGGAAACAUUGGAGCGGUCGAAAGAGGUUGUGGAAGAUCGUCAUUAAUAUAUCCCAAUUUAUCUUUGCCAGAGAUAUACGACUCGACAACUUGGGACCAUAUGGCAUAGUUGGUGCCAUCCAACCCAAUCUGUGCAGCGGAAGCUUCAUAGGUAAUCGUCGUCGGAAUCGUUGUCUGAUUCGGGUUCAAGGUCGUCGUCUGAUUCGAGUUCGAGGUCGUCGUUUGAGUCAAGGUCGGGGUCGUCUUGGUAGGAUCCUGAUUUAGGAUCGAGUUCAAGAUCUGAGUCUGCAUCUACAUUAGUUGAGCCACCUGGGCACUCAACUUGGCUAUGGUUAGUUGAGAAGGAGAUGAGGAAGCAAUGGUGCUACCACCAUGAGGAUUGGAAGAGUCAUCCUCCCUCAUGGUGACGGGUAGGGUUUAGAAACUAGAGUCAGCAAUCCCAAGAUCGCUGCUCUUAUACCAUGCUAAAACAUGAAAACUAUAAGAGAAUAUUUGUUCGUGGGAUUUUUUUGUGUAUUCUUCUCCUUAUAGGAGGUCAUAUUUAUAAUACAACGAAACUUGAAUGGGCAAGUAAAUAAUAAAUUCCUAAAUCUAUUUAGAGUAGGAAAUCAUGAAUUAAAGUAAAUCAAUUACAAUUAUAAUAGGAAUUCUUAGUGUGUAAGGAAAGUAAGUCAAUGUCCACAAGUCAUGCCAACAUUUCCUCGUUAAUCUUUGACAUUCCUCUUGGUGCCUUUGAGCCAAUCGAGAAAAUUAGUAAUGGCAGAAGAUAACCAUGCAAUUGGGAUUGAUCUAGGGACAACUUAUUCGUGUGUGGCAGUGUGGCAGGCUGAUGAUAUAGAAAUCCUGGUGAAUGAUCACGGUAACAGGACAACUCGAUCUUAUGUUACAAUCACUGAUAGUAAGAGGUUGGUAGGUGAUGAAGCAUUUAACCAAAUCUGGAGGUUCCCCGCCAACUCAAUCUUCGGUAAGAAAGAAUAAAACGAUGAUAUCAAUUAUAAUUAAUUGUUUAUUUGUUUCCUUCCUCACAUAAUAAUCUAAACUGGGAAUGAUUUACAGAUGCGAAUCGGUUAAUUGGUAGGAGAUUUAGUGACGAAACUGUUCAAAUGAUAUCAAGUGCUGGCCAUUCAAGGUCAUUGAAGGUCCGGCUGACAAGCCCAUGAUUGUGUUUGUGGUUAACCAUAAGGGUGAAGAGAAACAAUUUGUUCUCAUCCAUGGUUUUGGCAAAGAUGCGGGAGACCGGAGAGUCCUACCUUUGCCCAAAGAUUUCUGAAAGAAAUGCAGUUAUCACUGUCCCCUCUUACUCCGGCUUAAAGGUGUUGCGUAUCAACAAACCAACUGCUCCAACCAUCGUUAUGGAAUUGACAAGAAGGCCGGUUGGUUUCGUAAGAGAAAUGUGAUGAUAUUUGAUUGGGGCGGCGGUACUUUGGAUGUGUCACUUCUUACCAUAGGCCAUGGUGUCGACGAAUUACUGCGUUGAAGAAUUCAAGACAAAACAGAACGUGGACAUUGGUGGAAACGCCAAAGCUCUUCGGAAGGCCAAAACUGCGUGCGAGAAUGGAUACCAAGAAGAGUUUGAAAUAAUACUAAGAAAAUCUGAACAAGAAUGAGUGGUUGGGAGACAAAGUAGAAAAGUCGUUGGGAUUAACAGCCACAGAAACUUAAAAUUCAAGAUCUGUAAAAAGACAACUUUGGAGAAAUGUCAGAUGACGAUACAGAUUGAUACCAACAAACAUAGAUAAAUACAAAACGGGAUGGACUGCUCGAAAGAUGAUGUGAACAGUCCCAUGGGAACCAAGAGAAUGGAACUCAAUCAUCUCCAACGAACAAUCCCAACCUUUUUUUUUUUCACCAAAUGAAGAACCCCAACCAUGUCUAUCCCAAACCAUGUCAUAUCUGAUCUCAAUUUUCCAUGUGUUUGUUUUUUAAAAUUUAUUGAAUUGACAUGGUAACCAAAACAUAUUCUGGUAUGAAGGUUCUUAACUGAUAAGCAAAUUAAUUAAGGGUAGAGGUGAAUUGGUUUCAAGGUACAGGGAUUUGGAAAAAUUAUUUCUACAGGUAAACACGGAGGAAAUAAAGAAAUAAAGAAAGAAGAAGAAAACUAGCAGAGGAAAAGAAUAAGAAAAACAUAAAGAAAGAGGAGAGACGUAUAGAGGAUAAACGGGAAACAAAUGGAAACAGAGAGAGAAGGAAAAGAAAGAAAAAAGAGAGAGAAGGUAUAAUGCAGAAAAAAUAAAUAAAGAGAAAUAAGAAAACCAACAAGGGAAAAUAAACAUUAUAAAAAUAAAAAUAAAGAUAGAGACAGAGAGAGACAGAGAGAGAAUAGAUAGAUUCUACAAAACGCUAAUAUCCGUAUCUUUCCAACUAUAUAAAUAUCAACAUCUGGUUUGUUAUGAGGAAGUACAUUAUAUUCCGUGAAGUUGUCUGAUCUGCACAAGACAUUCUUGUGAAACAUCUUUCAAUCCCAAAAAUGCUCCUUUUGAUUGCUUUUUCAUCUUUACUCUUCAAACCUAGUAAAACACAAAACUAAGUAAAAAUAGACUAAACUCACUCAAGAAUUUCUCAAGAAUCUAAGAGAAAAAUAAUAAAAAUGUACAAAAUAAUAGUUAUAUCAGUCCUUAUGUGUCGAAUUCAUCUAGCAUAGAGAAUUACAUAUAAAAUACUUCUGAUGUAACUAGAUGCCAUAGCCAUUGAAUAGUUUAGGAAAAUUGAUCAUCAAUAAGGGGAAUUACUUGGAAUUAGUAUGCUAAGGGAUUGGGUAGGAUUGGUUACAGUGAAAUCGGAUGCUCUAGUGUCUCUCUCUUGGUUUUCUUAAAUAUCUUGUGUCGUGCGUUUCUGUCUUUAGUUUUCAAUUACUUACUUAGUUAUACUAUCUUCUGAUUCGUAUACUUGCGAGCAUUAAAAUUUGAUAAAUUUAGUAAACCUGAAUUUCGCAACAUCAUUCAUGGAAUAGAGCCUUGUCCUGGGCUACUUUGGUCUACUUUUAGUAAUUGGUUCGGUAGACAUCGAAAGGGUUUGAAUUGGUUCAACAGAGAGCAAAAGGCUUUGAAUGGGCAGAAAUCCACUAUAUCUGAAAGUCUCCAACAAAUUAGUUAAAGGUGGAGGUUAAUUGGUUUCGAGAGACAAGGAUCUAGAAAAAUUAUGUAGCUACGGUUAAACGAGGAGGAAAUAAGGAAAUAAGGAAAUAAAGAGAGAAGAAGAAAACUGGGAAAGGAAAUGAAUAAGAAAAACAUAAAGAAAGAGGAGAGACGCAAAAGGGAUAAACGCGAAAAAAAGCAAACAAGAAGAAGGAAAAGAAAGAAAAUGGAGAGAGAGAGAGAGAUAAGGGAUAAAGGCAUAAAAAAUAAGGGGUUUUACCCACCAAAAAAAAAGGGCAAAUAGGAAGGCCAAAAAUGUUAAAAUAGUCUAGUGACUAUUACAUAAGAAUAAUUUCAUGUGAAAAGGACAACGAAAGAAUAAAUAAAGAGGAAGAAGAAAAACGGCGGAGGAAAAUAACAAAAAAAUAAAGAAAUAGGAGAGACUAGAUAAACGCGGGAAAAAAAAGAAACAAAGUAGGGAGAGAAGGAAAAGAAUAAAAAAGGAAGCAUAAAAAAAGGAGAGAGAAAAGGGAUAAAUGUAGAAAAAUAAAUAGAGAGGAGAUAAGGAAAGAAAUAGGAAGAAGAAAACUGCCAGAGGAAAAGAAGAAAAAAAAAAGGAAAAUGAGAGAGAGAAGGGAUAAACGCAUGAAAAAAAAGAAGGAAAUAUAGAGAUAAAAGAGAAGAAACAUAAAGAAUAAAAAAUAAAAAAUAAAAAAAGAGGAGAGAGAGAAGAGUGAACUAUAAAUAAAGCACACAAAAAGUCAAUAAUAGUAGUCUUUGAAACUUAUUAAUCCGGCGUUGAGCCCCAAUCGAGUUCCCAUGUUGGUGGAUAAUCUAGAAAAUGUCCUGCGUAACUCCAAACCGAGGGGCAGGAGGAUAAUGGUCGCUUGCGUCAGUCCAACCGACUCUAGGUCGUAGGUUUGCCCUAGCCUCUCUCCCUCUCCUAAACUUUUGUUUACCAAAAAGAAAACACUUACCUAAUCUGAUGAUUUAAUGAUGUGCAAAAAAGUUGGCUAUAUAUAUUCCAUUUAGGGGUUUUAAUAAAACUAGACAAAUAGGAAGGAAAAUGUUAAUAUAGUUCAGCUCCUCUAAAAUUGGAUAAUCUGAUCCAGUCACUGUCCGACAAUGACAUGAAAUUACUCUUAUGUCACUGUCCAAUAGUAACAUUGAAAUUACAAUUCGAUAGUGACAUAAGAGUAAUUUCAUGUCACUGUCGAACAGUGAGUAGACCGGUUUGUCCAAUUUUUGAGGGGCUGGACUAUUUUAACAAUUUGACUUGGAGGAAGGAUUUUUUUGAACAUUUGAUGUUCCAUUUAUUUGUAGUAGUCACUGUAAAUUAUGCUUUCUUUUAAAAUAUAUAUAUAUAUAUAUAUACAGUCCCCUUCUAUUGAGGGAUCCCUCAAAUAAUUUUAUUUGAGGGACGCCCCUUAGGGUACCCUACAAUUUUUUUCCCAAUGAUCCAAACCAUCUAUUUUUUAGGUCUUUAUUCAUAGAUCAUCCUUACAAAAAAUUAGACAAAUCGGAAACCAUUUCGACAUCCAAUUGUGUCUUACAAAAUCAAUGAAUACGAUGCUUCAAGAAAAUGCUAAAAUUUCAAUAGCUUAAUUGAGUAGUCAAAUAAUAUCGGAUUCAAGUGAUUUUUUGUUGAGAUGAUCUUUGAAUGAGUAUGUACAAAAUAGACGGUUUGGAUUAGUGAAAUACAAUCCGGAGUGGGGCCUACAAGGGGUGUCCCUCAAAUAAGCUUAUUUGAAGGAUCCCUCAAUGGAAGCUCUCUGUAUAUAUAUAUAUAUAUCGGGAGUGACUUUUGCUUAUGGUAACCUCCUUCAUCCUCACCUUGUUUGCUUUCUAUUACGACCAAGACUUCAAGCUUCUUUCGUUAUAAUUAUUGUUUUCUUAAGGGUUAUAAUUAUUGUUAUAUGAUGACAAUCGUGUUAAUUAUUCAAAAUGGAUCACCAAGGAACUUGCUCACACUCAAUGACACAGCCAAUACAACAGAGAAAAACAACCCAAGCUUUGCAUAACUUUAUUACAUAUUCAUGUCUGAUCUCAAUUUUCCAUGUGUUUGUUUUUUAAAUUUUAUUGAAUUGAUAUGGUAACCAAAACAUAUUCUGGUAUGAAGGGAUUCUUAACUGAUAAGAUCAUUAGUUAAAGGUGGGGUCAAUUGGUUUCAAGAUACAAGGAUCUGGAAAAAUUAUAGCAACGGGUAAACACGAAGGAAAUAAGGAAAUAAAGAAAAAAAAAGUAAAUUGGCGGAGGAAAAGAAUAAGAAAAACAUAAAGAAAAAAGGAAACAGAGAGAGAAGGAACAGAAAGAAAAAAGGAAAUAAGGAAAUAAAAUUUGGUUUUGUUCCUGUCUUCUUUCCUGUUUAAAAAAUUACUUGGAGACCUUCUUACGCAUUGUUUUCUGUGCUUUUUAAUUCAACCCUCGAGCAAUUUAAUGUUGUAAUUAAAGAUUUAAAAUCGUAUUAAGGCUUGAGUUAAGCUUACAAAUCAAUGAAACAAUUGAGAUUUUACUUGGUAUAGUCCCACGUGUAAGUCUUUUUCACCAAGCAGUCCAUGGCUUGGUGUGUACUUGCGUUCUUUUUUUGUUCAAAGGUGCGAAAUUGCUUGGCUUUGUUGUUGUUUACAUUACGCUUAAUUACACUAAUGUCCCAUGAAAUUCCGGUCAAAUUCAACUUUACCUCCAAACUCAAAAUAGCCCACUCUCAUUCCUUGACCGAGAUUUGAUGACACACUUUGCCCUUACCAUCAACUCCAUCCAAAAGUCUGUUAACUUUGAUGACGUGGUAAGGGCAUUUUUGUAAUUUCAUACACAUGGAUCAUUAUUCACCAAUUGAGUAGGUGAUGUGGCAAGUGGAGCUCACCUCCACAUAGAUAAAAAUAUUUUUUUAGUUAAAAUUGAGCUAAACAUAUAAAAGCUAUUUUCGGAGCUCUCUAUAAAAUUUUAACUCUAAUUCUACUCUCUAGUUUAGAGAGUCAUAAAUUAAUUCUAUAACGCCUAUUUAAUUGGUCCAUCUCUAUAAAUAAAAAAUUUUAAUAUACAAAAUAGUUAGCAUUAAUUAAAGGUUUUAAAAUACUCAUAAAAUAAAGUAGCAUUAAAUUAAAGGGAACCACUAGAAGUCAUUUCUCUCUCCUCAAAUUUAGAAGCUCCUAGAAGUCUCCCUAUUUUAGGAGAUGGAUAGGAAACAUUGUUGGAGUUAUAUUUUUCCAAUUCCUCCCUAAAAUUUGUCUGAGGUGGUUUAAGGAGCUCACUGUGAAUGCUCUAAAUUGUAGUACGUAAGCAUUGAGACUUUUCAUUUCCUUUGUAUAUAAAUUUGCUUACAAAUCUAGCUGUUUCCUACACUUAUUUAACUUUCUUGUUAAUCUUACAGUCUUAUUCAAGCUUUUGAGUAGAGAGGAUUAAUAAAGGCAGAAGAUAGCCAUGUGAUUGGGAUAUAAAUCUGGGGACAACUUAUUCGUGUGUGGCAGCUUGGCAGGCUGAUCAUGUUGAGAUCUUGGUGAACAAUCAGGAUAACAGGAUAACUCGAUCUUAUGUUACAUUCAUUGAUAGUAAAAAGGUUGGUAGGUGAUGAAUCAUUUAACCAAGUUGGGAGGUUCCCCGCCAACUCAAUAUUCGAUAAGAAACUAAAAUACUGACUAAAUAAGAACUCGCCAACAAACUGAACAAAUAAACAUGAACACCGUUACACAACCUCUCUUGUUUAAAAUAACUAGUAGUGUUGCUUUUGGGUUCAGAUGCUUUUAUUAGGGGAGAAUGGGUCCUCCUAUUUGAGGGAAUAUAUAUAUAUAUAUUAUUUUUUUGGGACAAACUUUCCAUGUUUAUCAAAUCUUUUGACAAAUAUUUUUACUCACCAAUUUAACCCAAUGUGUACUAUUACUAUCAUUCUCAACACUUGACGCUUGUCCAUAAACAUAACCAUAGUUAACUCUUUACUUUAUAUUUGUGAAAAUAGGAUUAUGCUUAUGAACACAUGUCAUAUGUUGAGAAGAGCAGUAAUGAUAUACCUUGGGCUAAAGUGGUGACCAAAAAUACAUUCAAUGUUUUAGAGCAUGUGUCACUUGACCGGGUUUUCAUGGUACACUUACGUGGGGCUGCUCUUUUUUGUUGUCUCUUUGUCUUGAGGAGGAAUUUGGGGAGCUGAGAGGACAGCUGCUAUAGCAUUGUUUCUUCACGCAUAAGGCUGUUGGAUGGCAACUCCCCUUACCCUUCGGCAGAAGAAAGAAAUAAAAUAAUGGAGAAGAAGAUAAGAAGAAAGGAAUAAAAGACCUUGAAGCAACAAAAGUAUGAUAAAGAUCCGAAGAAAGGAAUUAUCUCAUUUCGAAAUCUAAAAAAGUGGCCCCGUUCGGUAACGUUUUAAGAGGUUGUUUUCAUUUUCAGAGAACAAAAAUGAGACAAAAACACGUUCGGUUGCCCAAAAACAGAAAACACUGAGAAUGUUUUCAUAAAAUGAAAACAAGUUCAUGUGUACUUGUAGAAAACAAAAAAAAAAAUUGUUUUCAUUCUCAUGGGAAACGUUUUCAUAAAAAUAACUCACAUAGUAUUAUUUCAAAUUGUACUACCAGACACAUUUUUAUUGUUUUUGUUUUCUGAAUAUGUUUUCUAAUUAAUCUACCAGAUGCAUUUUUAUUUCCUGAAAAUGCAAAUUUGUUUUCUUGUUUUCAUUCUCUGAAAAUAUUCUAAGAAAACAUUCUCCAAAAACAUUACCAGACGGGCCCUAAAUGUUCUUUGUUUAGUGAACUGGGGCAAAGCAUCAGCUAUUGCGUAAGCAUUGGUUUAUUAGACUUUUCACUUUCUCCGUGUAUAAAUUUUCUUCCACUGAUUUCUGCACUUAUCUAAUAUUUCCUUGUUAAUCUUUGACAUUCCUCUUGGAGCUUUUGAGCCAAUUGAGAAAAUUAGUAAUGGCAGAAGAUAACCAUGCAAUUGGGAUUGAUCUGGGGACAACUUAUUCGUGUGUGGCAACGUGGCAGGCCGAUCAUGUAGAAAUCCUGGUGAACGAUCACGGUAACAGGACAACUCGAUCUUAUGUUACAUUCACUGAUAGUAAGAUGUUGGUAGGUGAUGAAGCAUUUAACCAAGCCGGGAGAUUCCCCACCAACUCAAUCUUUGGUAAGAAUAAAAUGAUCAACAGUACAAUUGUUCAUUGUUUCCUUGUUAAUUUCGUUAGAACUGAGAAAUAUAUACUGUGUUUUUUUUAGAGCAAUUCUGUAAAAGUGGGGUAUUAUGCAUAAAUCCAUAAAUUAACUUGUUUCCUGACAUAAUCUAAACGGGAAUGAUUUACAGAUGCGAAGAGGUUAAUUGGUAGGAGAUUCAGUGACGAAACUGUUCAAAGUGAUAUCAAGCGCUGGCCAUUCAAGGUCAUUGAAGGUAAGGCUGACAAGCCCAUGAUUGUGAUUAAACACAAAGGCCAAGAGAAACUGUUUGCUGCUGAAGAUAUCUCAUCAAUGGUUUUGGCAAAGAUGCGGGAGAUUGCGGAGGCCUUCCAUUGCUCAAAGAUUAGUGAGAAAAAGGCAGUUAUCACUGUCCCCUCUUACUUCAACGACUCUCAGCGCCAGGCUACAUUAAAAGCUGGUAAAUUAGCUGGCUUAAAUGUGCUGCGUAUUAUCAACGAACCAACUGCUGCGGCCAUCGCUUAUGGAAUCGACAAGAAGGCUGGUUGGUUUAAAAAGAGAAAUGUGAUGAUAUUUGAUUGGGGUGGUGGUACGUUGGAUGUGUCACUACUUACCAUAGGCCAUGGUGUCUUUGACGUGAAGGCCACUGCCGGAGAUACUCACCUUGGCGGUGAAGACUUGGAUAACAGAAUGGUGAACUACUGCAUCGAAGAAUUCAAGACAAAACAGAACGUGGACAUUGGUGGAGACGCCAAAGCUCUUCGGAAGGCCAAAAUUGCGUGUGAGAAAGCAAAGAAGGCACUUUCGUUUUCCUUUGACACUGGUAUCGAAAUUGACUCUUGGUAUAAGGGUGAAGAUUUUCAUACAACUUUUACACGCGACAAAUUCGAAGAACUGAACAUGGACAUCUUCAACAAGUGCAUGGAGCCUGUUAACAAGUGUUUGGAGGAUGCCAAAAUGGACAUAAGCGAGGUCGAUGACGUUGUUCUUGUUGGUGGGUCUUCUAGAAUCCCCAAGGUUCAAGAGCUAUUGCAGGAGGUUUUCAAGGGUAAGGAGUUGUGCAAGAGCAUUAAUCCUGAUGAGGCCGUGGCUUAUGGAGCGGCUGUUCAAGCUGCAGCCUUGAGUGGGAACGUAACUGGAAAGCUUCAAGACUUCACUCUCUUAGACGUCACCCCUCUAUCACUUGGGAUUGAGAGUGGGAAAGAUGGUAGUUCCGAGCUUUUCAUGAAUGUUGUGAUUCCAAGAAACUCAAGAAUUCCGGUGAGGAUGACAAAAACUGUAACUACUCGUUAUGACUACCAAGAGUCUGUACACUUCCCCAUUUAUGAGGGUGAAAAUAGAAUCGCCAAAGAUAAUAACUUUUUGGGUGAAUUCACCCUCCAUGGCAUUCCUCCGGCUCCCAGGCAUGUUCCAAAGUUCAAUGUUUACUUUGAUAUGGACGCAAAUGGAGUUUUGAGCGUCUCUGCGGAGGAUAUGUCCACUGGCCAGAAGAAAGGGAUCAAAAUCAACGGUGACAGAACCAAGAACUAACUCUUAAGGGAAUAUAAGGAUUAAGAUAGCAUCUAUAAAAUAAUUAUUUUCUUUGAUUUCCUAUAUAUGUUGAAGUGCAAUAUCUAUGUUUAAGAUAGCAUGGAAUAAGGAAGUCGAUAUGAACUUCUUUUGCUGGCUGCUUGUGCAUUUCGUGAUUGGCUGGUUUUUUCUUCUCUGGGUUGGGUGUGGGGAGUGUGCUUUGUAAAAGAC